AAGGAGAAAUAUGCGAAAAGGAAGCAGAAGAGUCACAUGGGUUUCCAAUACACAGCGACCAAACGAGCCUAAAAGCUUUGAAUUACUCAACCAAAACCCUAAUGCUAAAAGCUCUUCAACCAGUUACGAGCCCGGGCGAAGAAACUCUCAUCGGACACGUUAACAGAAGCUUUAGGCUUUGGUUUUGAUUGCUUACAUUAUGAUUUCAAGGUUGUUAGACUUGUAUCGUGCUCUGUUCCUGUUGAAAUUUAUUCUGCAAUUAGGAAUUCCUGGGAAAUCAUUAGGCAUAAUCCCACGGAUACUCCUUAUGCCUAUGAAGAGGUAUGAUGGCUUUUGAUCUACACAAGGAGGCCUUUAUUUGUAACAUUGGGCUGCCUAUCAGCUCUCAAAUUGCUGUUAUUGUUGACUUGGAGAAUUCUGUUGCUGUUUGUAACCUUGAUCAAUUGCAUAAUCAGUUUAGCUUGUGGACAUUAGACGAUGAGGCAUGCCUUAGUGGUGGAGGUGGAAGUAAGGCAUCAUGGACGACGAAGUUCAUUGUUGAUUUAGGCGUGCCACUAGAUCUUGGGGAAGGUGUUUUCAACAUUGUUGAGUUCUUGAUACAACCUCAAGAACUUGGACGUCUAUGGUUUUCAUACAACUCUGAGAAGAAAGUGGGCAAAAAUGUCAAUGUCAAUUCUUAUUCUGAGAAGUAUACAGAGAGCUUGCUUUCUGUUGCAGGACCCGAACUAAUCAGGUGACCUAAUCUGAUUACGAAGAUGAUGAGAGAUGUAUUAUUUCAGCUUUUUACUAAUCUACAUUAGUUUAGUUUCUUAAGUCUCGUUGUAUUUCCUUUGUCAUUGUUAUCCACGAGAAUUGACCUGUUUGACUUAUCUUAUUUUUCAGAAAUUAAAAAAGUACGUAAAUAUAAAGUUGUUUCUCGACCCACUCGUAAACAUACUAAGAAUUGUAAAGAGAUUGCUCAAUGCCCAGAACUCAACAAACUGUAAUAAUCUUGUUAGCAAAACCCUAGACUUCUAAAUUCUAAUUUGCAUUAAGGUGCAUUAGAGCAACCAUAACUGGGCUCAGAAUCUCAUGUUGUUGCUAUAAUUGAGAGCAGGAUAGCGAGGAUCAUCUUCCGGACUUGUAGUUGGCUCUCCAAAAAUUCUCAACAAAUCUGGCGAGGUAACCUCUCUCCCCUAUCUCUAUAUUUUGUUACUUUAAUCUUUACUUUUUGUUUUUACUACACCUGUUCUCCUAAUUAUUGUUAUCUUUCCGGAAUGGCAGCAAUAUGAAGUACUAAAGCCUGGUGGAUAAUCAAGGCUGUUGUGUUGAUACAAGUCUGUAUGAAUAGAUAUGAAAGAUUCUUCGCAAGCCAGGUACACAUCCUCAUAUAUGUUGAAUGUCUAGGUUAGUUACUAUAUUUUUGUUUGUUGUGUUCCAUGAAAUGCCUGAAUGAAAUUUAGCAACAAAAGAAUUCUUCUGGCUGAAACUGAGUAUUUGUCAUCAAUGUGAAAUUUGGUAAAACCAACUGAGUUAAAUCUAUAUAAUAUCUUCGAAAAUAAAGUAAUCAAAUAGUUACUUGAUUUAGCUACUAUGGUUGGAGCAAAACCUUUUCUUUUGUUUAGGAAGGUUAGCGAUGAUGUCAUACCUUUGUUGCCACUGAUCUUCUCUCCAAUCUCCACUUGAAGCUGUAACCACUUCCAUUAAAUACUAAAGUGUACAACUGUGUAGCAGUCAAGUGCUUCUCCUAAUGCAAAAGCAGCCAUGCUGGUCAAUUUUUACAUUCAGUAUUGUAAGAUUUAUCUGAUAAUCAGGGGCAUAACUUCUAAUUUAACACCAUUUUUUUUUGUUCCAUAAGAGCAUCUUCGACGGUGUUGACUAAAAAUGGUUGGCGAAAUUGGACUUGUAAGACAUUAUGUAAAAUUAGUCGAACCAGUAAGGUAUUUUACUUUGAUGGUAUUGGCUAUGUUGGCUGAUUAUAUUCCAAAAAUGGUAUGUUAUUAUUAUUUCAAGUUGUUAUAAAUAGAAUAUAUUAUUUUAAAAUGGUAAUAGAUAUGUGGAAUCUUGUUACAGGUAUCUAGAGGUUGGCCUAAUAUAGCCAAUAUCAAGAGGUUGGCUAUAAUUAUAGACAAGGGUUUUGUACAAUUGGAGUGGUGAAAUUUAUACACAUUCUCUAUAAAUUUUAUUUUUGGCAUUCCAAUUGCCACCUAGAUAUUUAGCUAAGGGCUUUAUAAGGUUGAAAAUGCUCUAGUAUAUUAAUGGUUAUUAUCAUUGAUAUAUUUCUCUAGAUUCUGUUAAGCAUGUUUAAUUAACCGAUUGAUUAAUAAUUAAUAUUUUUAUAUCGUAUCCUUGAGGUACCGAUCUCAUCACUAUUGACAUUGACAUUAUUUCAUAUUUAUUAUUCGAAGUGUAUUUCUAUCACAUAAAAAAAAAAAUUAAAAACAAUUAUUUUGACAAUAAUAUGAUUUCAGUUUAUUUUUAAUUUUAUUUCUAAUUAAAAUUAUUACAGUUUUGGUAUUCGAACUAAUUUGGAUUUGAUAUCGAAAUAUCUAAAUGUUGGGACUAUAACUAUUUAACCACAUUUGCAAAACCGAAUCCAUCAUAGAUUAGAAGCCCUUAAUUUGAAAUCGAGAAAUGGGGACGAGAGCCGACAAGGGCGAAAGGUUGACAGAAGUGGACUUGUUAAUUGAGGUGCUUUCGAGGCUUCGUGUGAAGCCCUUGCUUCGUUGCAAAUCCGUGUCUAAAUCAUGGUACGCUCUCAUUUCAAGCCCUAAUUUUAUCAAAUCUCAUCUUCAACGUGCAAUCACAAGCUGUGCUGUAGAUGAUGAGGAUGAAAAUAAUCUCAUAGUUCACUACCAUAGACAUUGGGAUCGUCUUGAAUAUAAAGAAGCAGACGGCUCAUUCAAACUCUUUAACCUCGGUAUUGGUUAUACUACGACAAAUCUUAAAUUUCCUUACCCUCAAGGUGAGUAUCCCAUCGAUCCUCCCUCUCUUCUCGUUGGUUUUGUUUGCGGGAUUGCUUGUGUUUGUGUUGAUGACUCUGAUGAUUUCAAUAAAUUCUUUGUGCCUACUGCUAAUCUUCCAAGUAAUAUAUACCUUUGGAAUCCCGCGAUUAAACAAUCUAAACUUAUUCGUCCGCAUACUAUACAUGCUGAUGACAAGACAGAAGUUGCUUUAGGCUUUGGAUUUGAUCCCAUUGAUUUUGAUUUUAAGGUUGUUAGAGUUGCUAGAGAUAUUUCGAGUGCCAUUUUGCCCGAGGUCUAUUCUACAAACAAGGAUGCUUGGAGAAAUAUUGAUUCUAACUUGACUGAUGUACCCUACAGCAGAAGUUUACAGAUAUGCCUCCACGGAUUUUUGCUUACGACUGGAAAUAAUGGUAUGAUAGCUUUUGAUCUAAACAAGGAGGUGUUUGUUUGUGAUAUUAAGCUUCCUGUCAACAUUAGUGGUGGUGGUCAUCGUUUCUUAUAUGAUGCUCGUGUCGUUGUCUUCAAGGAUUCUGUUGCUUUUAUUACCUCUACGUUUUCUAAACCGCAUAGGAUGAACUUGUGGACAUUAGAUGACGAGGCAUGCCUUCGUGGUGGUGGAGUCCAGGCAUCAUGGACUCUAAAGCUUAAUAUUGGUCUUGAUGAAGACUUUUACUAUUUCCAGGGCCUUUAUAACAGCAUUGACUUAUUAUUCCUUUAUAUGGGAAAGUGCUUCCUGUACAAUUUAGACAUGAAUUUGAGCAGAUAUAAAUAUCCUAGAGAGUUUAGUUAUUUUGAAGAAGACGCUUUCAAGUAUUCGGAGAGCCUGCUUUCAUUUGCAGGAUCUAUACCAGUCAACUGGCCUGCUGAUAAAGAAGAUAAUUAUGAAAGUGAAGUGGAUCUGGAAGAUUGUAAUUAUGAUAGCGAAGUGGAUCUGGAAGAUUGUAAUUAUGAUAGCGAAGUGGAUCUGGAAGCUGGUAAUUAUGAAAGAGAAGUGGAUCUGGAAGCUGGUAAUUGUGAAAGCGAAGUGUAUCUGGAAGUUGAUACCGAGGAAAGCAAUGUUGCCUCUGAAGAUGAUAAGGAAAGCAGUGAAGAUUCCGAAUAUGAUCCUGAGGAGAGCAUUACUGAUUCCGAAGAUGAUAAUGUGGAGAGCUACGAAGACGAUAUUGAGGAAAGCUCUGAAGCUGAUAAUGGGGAAUGCAGUGAUGAUUCUGCUAGUGAGUAAUGAGAAUAAUUGUCACAAUUAUUUUAUUUCUGUAGCCUUCAAUUUUCUCAAUCAAAUUUACUAUCACAAAAUCAUGUGCAUUGACAUUGUUAAACUUUUACUAUAUAUUAAAGUUGUCAAACUUUUGUUUUGAUUUAAUAUCUUUUUACUCCAAUUUUAUCUGUGAUCUUUCCAUUGUCAAACUAUCUGACGCUUAAUAGUACCUUCUAUCAAUACUUAUAUUGCUACUGUUCUUAUAAAACUUAACUGAAUGACUAAAAUCACAAAUUUUUGUAACGUUGGUGAUGACAUUUAGUAAAAUAAUUGUCUGGUUAUGUUUCUAAUGGAGGUAGCAAAAAAUAAAUUUAGCUACUAUUGGAAUUAAACAAAGCAAAUUGGACGUGCAAUUCUAUCUUGUGAUUGGUCAAUUUCUUCCUUUUGCAAUUUGGUGAUUUCAAAAAUGCAGUUCCUGCUGUCUUUGUGGUUGCUGGCUUGAACCUAUCAGUUGAAGCUAAUUUUUAAUUUUCAUGGAAUAUGUGUGCAAAUGUAGUAAUCCUUGUUUUAUUGUUGGAUAUGAAGAGUGUCCGGAAAGAAGUGACAGCGGCGUUGUACAGUUUACUUCUUAUAACUUCUUUAGGAAAUCAUUUAAUAGCGAGGAUCAUCUUCCAAGACUUGUAGCCGGCUCUCCAAAAAUUUAAAAAAUGUGGCGAGGUAACUUCUCUCCCUAUCUCUAUAUUUUAUUAAUUCAAUCUUUACCCCUUUUCUCUUCUUCUACACCCGUUCCCCAACGUGCUAUAUCUUGCACAUCCUUUUCCUCAACUAUCAGUCUCCUAGUUAUUGUUAUAUUUCCGCAAUGGCAUAUAUGAAAUACAGGUAGAUACUCUGACUUAUGAGUCACUUUACAAGUAAUAUAGGUUGUGACUCUGAGCGAGGCAAAUUGCAAACCUUAAUAAUCGAAGAGAUUGUAUGAUGUACCGGAAUCUUAAUAUUUAAGAUCCUUACAUAUUAAUUUUCUAAUAUACCUGUAUCUGUGUUGCGCAUGUUCCAUUCAGUGACCGACAUCUUAGUUUGAUGGUGGAAUGUAACAUCGAGUCUAGCAAAGCUGUACGGGAUGAAUGUUGUGUCAGCUGUCCCAGUGGUGGAAGAAAAUACUCCAGAAGAUCAAUAUUACAAAUAAUAAUUUCACUGAUUCGAAGUGAAUCUGUAAAGUUGAGAUGAAGUUAUCAAUUGCGAUAGCAAUCGAUCUUAUUGAACUGAAAAAAUGAGAAUUUGAUGCUUGCGCAGGGACGGAACCAGAAAAAAAAAAUAUGGAGGGGCGAAAUUUAUUUAUGCAAAAAAUACAUUCCGACAAUCUAGAUUUUAUUGACAAGUUUAUGAAUUUGUAUGUACAAAAUCCAAAUUUACAUGAGAUUCUUAUAUAUAUUUGAAGGGACCAUCAAGAUUUAUUAGUUUGAGGGGAGUGGGGACCAAAUGAACUCUCUGGUCAAUUCCUAUACUCAAAAUUGAAUAAAUACAAGCUUUUUGGGAGAUUUUUUGGGGGGACAGAAUGACUAUAUAAUCAAUUUUUAUACUCUAAAUAGAAUCAAUUUAAGUUCUUAGGGGAGGUUUUGGGGGGACCAUGGUCAAUCCAUGCCCUCCCCUUUCCUUCCCUGUGCUUGCGAUAGCUUCAUAGCGAGCAACAAUGGCGGAACCGUGUUGCAGGCUCUCAUACCAUAUAAAGAGAUGAAGAUAAGAACAAACUGGAAAAGAAAAUUGUAUUGACUACUUGCUUCUGUACAUUGUAUUGUCCAGUUAUACACAUGAUCUAGCUAGUGGAAAAGAAAGAAUGAGAGUAAUAAUUCCUAACUAACUUUCUCACCUAAGUUCUCUAAUUUAAUUUGCUAUUUAUGUACAUGUGUGCCCUCUGAACUUUGACUUAAUUUAUCUGUUUGCUUUCAGUGUGUUACAUUGUUUGAUAUAUCCUCAAUAUCUAGUUACUCUCAUUCUUUCUUUUACCGGGUUUUUUUUCCUUCUGCUACACCUGUUCCCCAACCUGCCAUAUUUGCACAUCUCUUUCCUCAACUAUCAGUCUCCUAAUUAUUGUUAUCUUUCCGGAAUGGCAGCUAUGAAGUACUAAAGCCCGGUGGAUAGUGAAGGCUGUCGUAUUGAUACAAGUCUGGAUGAAUAGAUAUGAAAGAUUCUUCACAAGCCAGGUUAGUUAAUUAAUCUUGUUUGUUGUGUUUGAUGAAAUGCCUGAAUGAAAUUUAGCAACAAAAUUUUUUUUACUGACCGAAACCGAGGAGUACUAGUCAUCAAUGUGAAAUUUAGUAAAACCAAAUGAGUCGGAUCUAUAUAAAAUUUUGAAAAUAAAGUAAUCAAAUAGUUAACUUGAUUUAGCUACUAUGGUUGGAGCAGAACUUUUUUUUUUUUGUUUAGGAAGGUUAAUGAUGCUGUCAUACCAUUGUUGCCACACUGAUCUCCUCUCCAAUCUCUACUCUAAGAUGUAAUCACUUCCGUUAUCUACUAAAUUUAGGCAUGAAUUUCGAUUUUUAAUAAGAAAUUGAGUCUUAAAAAUUUAUUGUUGAUGUACACAUUACAUUUUUGGACAUUUAAUAAUAAAUGAAUAUUGAUCGACUUAUAUAUGGUAAAAUCUAAAUCCCGACUUGAAAUUAACAUCAAGCCAUAACCCAAACUGGACCUGAACGUUUGGACAUUUGGAGAGAUUCAGUUAUUUAUUUGAGAUUUAAGUGGACAUUUCUUGACAUAAAACUUUUCAAUAUAACUGCUCAUAAUUUAUAUUUAUCUUCAUAUUAAAAAAUCAUGUGUUCUAGAUGUUUAUAUCCAUGAAUUUGCUCUAUCAUUUAAAUGUUUUUUUUCCAUUUAUCAACUUCAAGACUUCGUGAGAAAAUAAAAAAAAUUCUAAUGAUUAUUUAUUCCGACAUUAAAGAGAGCUAUCUUUUAUGUAUUCUUAAAUCAGGAAGAAGAGACUGGCAAUGCUAAUAACAAGACGUGGAUAGUUUGUAUCGACCUAUGAGAUCUAGAGCUAUUUUCUUGAAUGAAGUACAAGUGUACAACUGCGUAGCAGUCAAGUGCUUUCCUAACGCUAAAGCAGCCAUGCAGGUCAAUUUUUACAUUCGGUAUUGUAAGAUUUAUCUCAGAAUCAGGGGCAUAACUUCUAAUUUAACACCAUAUUCUUUUUCUUUUUGUUCCAUAAGAGAAUUCAUAAGGGUGUUGGCUAAAAAUGGUUGGUUAAAUUGGAUGUCACAAUUAAUAUUUCAUUAUUUUACCAUUUUCUUUAUUAUAUAAUUCUGGCUUUACUGAUUUUAUACAAUUUAAACUCUUAUCAACCUUUUUUAAUAAUAAUUCAUUCAUGUGAAUGAAUAAUUUUUAAAAAAGUCUGAUAAGAGUUUAAAUUACUAUGCAUUAUCACGUGAAUGAAUUAUUUUUAAAAAAGGCUGAUAAGAGUGUAUUAAAUUAGUAAACACAAAAAAAAGGAUGAAAAAUUAAUUGGGACAUAGAAGGAAUUAAUGCAUUGUUUUUGUGAAAGAAGAGAAGGAUAGAAUUGAAAUUAAAAAAAUCUAAAAAUUACACAAAAUUCGGUGUAAUUUUUGGUGUCACACCAAAAUGGUGUGAUUUUUAGAGUUGGGUUGGAGAUGGUCUUGUUGUGUUCGUUUAAGGGAGAACGGAAUGAGUAAAAACAAAAGAAAACAUUAAAGUAGAACAUAAGUUCGUUUUUUUGGUUGGGGAGAAUGGAAUGGUGGAAUAGAAUGAGUAAAAACAAAAGAAAAUAAAAAAUUAGUGCAAAGUUAUUGUGGUGCGAUUUGAGAAAAGAGUGGAAAUAGGAGAGAAUGGAUCAUUCCUUCUCGAGUUGGGGGGUGACAUCUAAUUAAUGGUUUAAGAGAAUGAAUUAGGAAGGAAGGAAAGUUUUGAACAAGUGUCGAUAAUAUAGUUCAAAUCUAUACCCUUACUUUUAAAUUCAUUCACCCCAACCAACCACAACAUAAUAUGCUAAUUAAGUGAACUUACGAAUUUUGGUACUCUGUCCAAACAAUUAACAUUUGGGACGAUGUAAGAUUCGCCAAUAUAGUAAUGGCAACUUAGAUCUUGCAGAUGAACAGUAGGGCGUAGGUCAUUCCUGUUAUUGUUUUCUUAGUUUUGGUCAGGACAAGUUAUUGUAACAUUGUAACGCUCCCAUCUGCAUUUUGACUAGUGGAUUUCAUUGUAUAUAUCAGCCUUCAAGUUUGACCUGUGCUUGCUCUCAAUCUUGUAUCUGAAUUUAUCAUAAAUAAUUUUAAAUACCUAAUUGAAUCAUUGGAAAUUUUCUUUUUCUCUCAUUUUAUAUGGUUGAUUGGUUGUUUAAAUUUGGUUAGUCAAAGCUGUGCUUGCAUGUAUGUGCAAAAACAUUUGUACAUGGUUUUAUUAAUAAAUAGUUGGAAUGAACUGUUUUAAACAUAAGGACAGCGACUGGGAUUUCGAUUUUUGGUUCAUAGUUAUGGCAAGUUUUCAAAUUGCCGAGUAUAUUGCAAAGUGAUAAUAGUUGGAAACCUCGAGCUGGGUGUCGAGAAUGGAGUCAUAUCUUUUUUAAUCAUGCUGCUAUGAGUGGAGUGGGAUUCUCGUAGAUAAUUACUAUCUUUGUUAUUAUUAUUAUUAUUUUAUUAUUUCUUUUUUACUGCUAGGCAUGUCUUCUUACUAUUUUCUGUGGGAUAUCUAGUUUUGUGUAUGCGUUAUAUAAGGAUUAUGGAAUAUGGUGCACUUCUAAAUUAAUUGUUACAACUCAUCACUCAUGCAUUGAGCGCCAGUUUUAUGCUUGUAUGGGGUUUUUUGAAGUACAAACCUAAGAUUUUAUUAGGACGUGCAAAUUCAAAUUUAUCACUGCAAUUAUAGAUGCCAGUAUGCCCCUAAAAAAUUGGUUGUACAUGGUUCAGUUCAGUAUCUAGAUUAGAUUGUUACUAUAUAAACAUGCAUAAAAAUUUAAACAGAUGAAAGAGUUGUUUUCAAAAUGCUCAAAGAAUAGAAUGCUUACUGUACCAAAUAUUUCCAAAUGAUAGCUUGGGGAUUACGACAUAGCCCUGGGUAGCUGAAGUGGGAAAAACAGAAAAUGAUAUGUUGUCUUUGCUUCCUCUUUCAACCCCUGCACCUCCACAUAAAUCAGUUCUCAUUGACGAUAUUAAAAUGCCAGAUUUCAAGCAGUUCUUUGAAAGCAAGGGUAUCCAGGUACAUCAAAAUGUCUAUAGUUUAUAAUUAUUGAGUUGUUUAUAUUUGAUCAAGUCCCAUUCCUGAGAAGCCCUUAUCCGCUUACUAGGAAUGGUCAUGGAUGUUGCUAAUGGGUAGAUUCUUGACAUCCUUUUCAGGUGGAAUUUGCUGGAGUUGGGGCGAUGAGAUGUGAGGAGCAUGUGACACUGCGAAAGGUUGGGGAUGCAAGUCAGAAGGUAAGAAGAACUUUACCAUUAUUGUAUAUUACUAACCCUAGAGGUUCACAUUAGGGAAAUUGCUAUUCAUGUCACCAUUGUGUUUGACUCUGGCAUAAAAAUUUUGUGUAGGAUGGUGGUGCUACCAUUCAACAAAUCGGUGAUUGAAGGUCCCUUGUCGGCUUGUCAAAGGAAUAUCACUUUAUCAGAAACUAUAUAUAUUCACAAUUUUAUUUACUUUGAUCCUGAGCACCAUACGAAAUUGUAAUUUUCUGUAGAAUGUUAGCAGUCCUCACUCUUCAGCCGUCUGUUGUUUAUCUUUAGUGUAUGUGAGCAUUCACGUCGGGAACCCAAUCCAUAUCCCUAUAUAUUUACUAAAAACAGCAAGUCCUCAAAAAUUUCCCUAAAAUUAUUAGCUCUUAGAGGACUCUCAUUGGGAGCCCCAUUCCCAACCCCAAAAUCAUACUAAAUAUAGUAAGUCUCUAAAAUAAUUUUUAGAAUUUAGUUUUCUGUUCAAAAGUUCCUGCAUUCCCUUCCCCAUCUUCAUCUUUAUUUUCAUUUUUUAUUAGUUUGUUUCUCUUUCUUUGUCAGAAUUUGAAAAGUUUUAGAUAAAAAAGAGUAAAGUACUGGUGGAGCUGUGUGUGCAUGUUCAGGUUGGAGGUGAAAUGGGGAUAUACAGUGUAACCGCAUAUUUGGGGGCUUGAUUGUAGUCCCUAACCCUAUACCCCAUUUUGAGGCUCCGGAUGGAAGAUGGAUUUUAGUAAAAAGUUAGAUAUUUCCUCAAAUAUUUGAAGAUGGGGAUCCCAUUGGGAAUGCUCUAAAAGAGAACGAUUUCCAUCCCAUUCCCUAUCCCCAUCCUCAUAUUCCUUUUACUUGCUUCUUUAUCUUUAUUAUAUCUGAAAAACAGCCGGGUUUACAUGUAAUAUGCGAUGCGGGAUGUACUGUAUGUCUCCAUAUAUGGGGAUCCAAUUUUGAACUGUAUAAUUCCUCAUUUGGGGUUUCCAAUGGAGCACUGCCUUUGCACAAAUUAGUAUAAAUAUCCGUAAAUAAUGAAGAUAAGAUGCAGAUGAAGAACUGGAUUUGAAUGCUUAUGCUACUAGAGACUUGCAUAGGUCAUCACUCGGUGAUAAAUUCGAUCAAUCCAUAGUUUUGCAUAUAAAUAACAAAUGAGGGAUUUUGGUUCAAAUUCAUUAAUCAUAUCUGGAUUUUGUCACUUUUUUGUUUUGUCUUAGACUCUUGAUAGUGUAUUGACUUUGUUUUCUCAACCUCGCAGUUGCACUUUCAACGUUUUGCGGCUGUGGUUUGGUUUUGCUUGGUUAUCGAUUCUAGUUUUAUGCCGUGCGAGUUAAUGUUUGUUACCGAUAUUAGUAUAUCGCUUUUGCAAAGAAAGUUCUUUGUUAGGAGGAUUAGGGCCCGCACAGGAUAUUAGGACAAGGCAAUACAUGUGCCUGUUUGGGGUUAAGAAGCAAGGGCUUCAUUUGAGCGGAAGCCCGAAAGAGAAGCUGGGCUUGCCUUUGGGAAAAAAAGUCUAGCGCUUAAAGUUGACUCCGGAAGAGAAAAAACAGAAGUCAGGAAUCCAUGCUUUUUUUAUUCUCUUCUCACCUUCCAAAACACCACCUCACUAACUAACAGAAAAACACAGCAGUUGUGCUCUUCUUUAAUGAGCCUUCAUUAUCUGUGUAUCUCCUAGGCGUGCUGGAUUUAUUUAAUUUAUAAGUCAUAUUUAAUGUGAAAUUAAUAUAAUUUUAUUCGUAGAAUGCAUUUACUUGAUUAAAGUUUAAUACUUCAUUUAUCAAAACUUAUUUCAUAUGCAAUAUUAAAGUGUGCGCUUGUAUUUUUCAAGUUUUUUUAUAUUAAAGACAAUAAUAUUGCUCGUUUUACGAUUCAAAACCUGAAGUUAAAUCUGAAUUGAUCUUGAUGAGAAUAAAUUUAAUUUUCUAUGAAUGAUUUUUUUACCAUUUUUAUCUAAUUAUAUACAAUAAAACUUAAGUAUAUAUAUCCGUAAUUUUGUUAGUUUUACACAAUAAAAAAUGAUCCUUAAUUGUUACAUUAUUUUUAUUUAAAUUAUCUGUGUUUAGUAUUUUGUAUUUAAAUUUCUAAGCAAGUUUAUCUAUUAUCAAUUUAUAUUCUUUUGAAAAUAAAUCACUUCUUUUAAAUUUAGCCAAACAACCCCCAUAGUUGUUGUAUUAUAAUUUGGAUUUGGAUUAAAAUCUGGAUUUGUUUCCGAGGACAGGCUUAAUUAUUAACACAAAUAACUUGUUGCUGCCAUUUCACUACAACAAUCAUACAACAUUGUUUGAAUUUCCAUCGAGGUUUAGCUACUUGGGUGAUUGACAGGAAAGCGGGAAUUUUUUUGAAUACGAGAUGGGGAUCAUGGAAGGUUUUAUAAUAAAUUUGGGAUUGGGGUGGAUUUUGGGAUUAGUAUCGGUCUGUUUCGAAAUUUUUUCGAUUUUUAUGAUAAAUAUAAUAUUUAUAUAUUAAUAUUUUAUAAAAUAUUAGUGAUAAAUAUUUUAUAUAUGUAAAUUUAAAUGAUUCCCAUCAUUUUGUUGAUUAAAGUGUUUCAUGUAUAAUACAAAUUAAUUAUAAUAAUCUAAUUUUAUCUUUUACUAUUAUUAUUAAUACGUGUUAGUUUGAAUUGGUGCUUAAAAUAUUAUAUAAAAACAGAAGAAUAUUAUACAUCAUGAUUCAUGAUUUACAAAUAUAGUUAUAAUUAAAAGUUAUAUUAUUUAACAUAUAUUAUUAUAAUACUUUUGAAAAGAAGAUAAAUUUCUUGAAUGUUCGCGGGGAUUCGUGUUAAAGCCAGUGUUACAGAAAUCGGGAAUCGGACCUAAUCGGUCGAGCUACCGAUUUAAGGAUUAAUCGGAAAUCGGGGAUUAAUCGGAAGGAUUAAUCGGAGUUAAAAUCGGGUUUCUUUUAAUAUUAAAAUAUUAUUUAAUAUUUAGUUAUUAUUAUAUUAGCUAUUUAGUAACUAAUAUAUUUACUAUAUUCAUAAACUCUAUAAUUAUUCAUAUUUAAAGUAAUAUAGUAUUUUAAUUUUAAUAAUUUAUCACAUAUACUUCGAUUAUGAAAUAUAUAUAUAAGGAUUAAUCGGAUUUCAAAAAUCGGAUCGAUGGCCGACCUUGCAGAGGAUUAAUCGGGGAUUUAUCGGUUAAAUCGGAGAUUUUUAGAACACUGGUUAAAGCAGGGAUCGCGGGGCAAAAUAUUCCUCUCUGGAAUCGGGAUGGAUUCGAAAGUUGAUAUUCGGUUCGGGAUUCUGGGAGAAGAAUAGCAUUUUGCCAUUUUCCCAUCCCCAAGUAACCCCAUGCGCCUAUAAGUUUCAUCUAAUGUGUGAUUGUAUUCUUUUCUUUGCACACAGUGACACACUUGCCAGUAGGGGUGAGCAAAAAACCGAAUAAAUCCGAAACCGAAACCGAAACCGUCAAAAACCGCUAGAAUCCGAACCGUAUAAAACCGAACCGAACCCGAAACCGAAAAUUUUAAAACCGAACCCGAAACCGAUUAUGCGGUUCCGGUUAUAGCUAGGAACCGAUCCGAAAAAAACCGAACCGAUCCGAUUUUUAAAAUAAUUAUAAUAUUUAUAUAAUAUUUUAUAUUUAUAAUAUUUAUAGUAUUAUUUAUAUUUUAAAAAUACAAACUUAUAUAUAUAUCUACUAGAAAUCUAGAGUUUCUGGGAUAAAUAGGACUUGGGUCUGUGCUAGUAGUUUGGGCUCUUGAUAUGCUGCUUGCCUGCUUCUGUUUCUUCUUGUUUGCUAUUUUAUUUUUUAGUUGCUUCUUUUUUUGCACGUAAAUUCUCUCUCUUUGCUAGUGAUCCUAAUGCUUUUUAUUUUAUUUCUCUGCUAGUCCUUUACUCCAGAAAGAGACUUCCUUCAACUCCAUCCUGAGUCUCCUGACUAAACAUACACAUUUUAAAUAGCAUUUGAUGAGGUUUACAAUACACUAGCAAGACUUCUGGAUUUGUUUAUUGCCUGUAACUUGAUUUAGUGCUAGUGCUGGUUCACAGAAUGUUCUACCUAGCAGGCAACAUGCAAUAGCGUGACUGAACUAAAUUUGUAUUAAUACCUAUGUAGACUUAUGAAUUUUUAUGUUUUCUAUGUUUAAACUUCGGAUGGAUGCAUAAUUUUAAGUUAAGUUUAAUUAUUUAUGUAUAAUUUUUCUUUUUUUCUUUCAUGCGGUUUUAUAACCGAAACCGAACCGAUAGAAACCGAAUCCGAGGUUUUGGAACCGAAACCGAAACCGAGGAUGAGGUUGCGGUUGAGGUUUUUGAUUUCUAAAACCGAGGGCAUGCGGUUGCGGUUGCGGUUUUAUCCAAAAACCGCACCGAACCCGCAUCCGCUCUACCCUACUUGCCAGUGAUCACUUGUGAGGACAUCUGAUGGAGUAACAUUUAACUGUCUAAGAGCAAGUCCAACUGGUUACCUAUCUCGUUAAUUAUUAUUAAUAAUAUAAAAGAAUAAAUUCUAGUGAGUUUUAAAGGGGUGUAUUGGAUUGGAAUUUUAAAGUAAUUUUUUGCAUUAAUAAAAUCCGAGGGUAUUCGAUUGGAAUUGUUUGAAAUCCUGAGGUAUUCGAUUGAGAUUUUAAAUUAUGCUACAAAAUCUGGUGGUAUUCAAUUGGGAUUUUAAAUUAUGUUUUAAAAUCUGAUGGUAUUCAAUUGGGAUUGUUUAAAAUCUAUUAAAAUCUGAUGGUAUUCAAAUGUUGAUGGAUUUUUUUGGAUUUCAUAAAAUGAUAGAUUUUGUGGCAUUCUUCAGUGUAUUAUAAAUUUUUUGAAAUCUCAUUAAAAUCAAUGGAAUUUUGAAGCAUUUUGCUUAAAUCCUAUCAACUCUAUGACAUUUUAUCAAGAAUCCACACAAAAUCAAAAUCACAUGCAAUUUAUUAAAAUCCAUAGACUAAAAACAAUCCAUUAAAAUUCCAAUCGAAUAUAGUGUCAACUCCAAUAGCAAUCUCUAUAUUUGUUCUCUUAAGAUUAUUUUAAUAAUAAAUUUGAGAGAGAGAAUGAAAAAGGAGGGAAAAGACAAAGAAAGAAAGAGAGAUGAUUAUUUUAUUCAUAAAUAUUGAAUAUGUAAUGGCUAGGAGUUACUUAUAAAUAGGUAAUGGCUAAAAGAUUUAAGGUUAUGAUAGUAAUUUAGAUAACCAUUAAAAUAAUGUUAGAGUACAUUUUUUUGACAAAUUAUCUAAAUGUGAGUUUACGACCUGAUAUAGUAAUUUAUUGAACUUGCUCUGAAUCCCGAAUUAACUGGAAUAUACAAUCUAAAAACAGGGCCGCCACGAUCUCAAAUUUUGGCUCCAGCAUAAAAUUAUUUUCAAAUGAUGUAGUGGACAAGUAAUUUUGAACAUUUGCUACCGUAUACCAGAAACCUCACUUCACUUGUAAACUCAAUUUCAGUAUAUCUUAUCUCUAUCUUAAACUAGAAUCUCAAAAAUGAAUUGACACAUAAUAUUAGGUAUUUUGGCUGAUUUGUUUUUUUUCCUGAAUAAAAUAUUAUAUUUUAUUUCUAUUAAGAAAAUUAAAAAUCAAUAUUAUUAUUAUAUGAUUAAAAUAAUUAAAAUUACGUAUAAACAUUCAAAAAAUUUAUGAAUAGACAUAUAUACUCGUUCAAUUUGCUAAAACCAAAAUCAAGCUUUCCAGAGUACUUCUAAUGGGAGGUCUUAAUGUGGCAUGAGGUUACUUGGCACCUUCUUCAAUAUUCUAUAGGAGUCUUUGGGUACUGAGUUUGGCAAGGAGUGCUAAUCUGGGUGUUAAAGUUCGGCAUUCAUAAAGUAGGGAUUCAAUUUGUUUUUAUAACAUGUUUUCCACACUAUCACUAGAAUAUUUUUGUGAUGAGAUUAACACUUGAUAUCAUGAAAUGUCAAUAUUGGAGUGUUUUAAAAAUAAGGGUAUCUCCAUUUAAUAAUGUGUCAAAGUUAACACCCUUCUAACCAAAUGUACUCAUUUAACCGGGAUGCAAAUUUUGAGACAAAUCUUGAAUUUUCUGGUUCUUAGGGUCCUCAUUUUUUUGGGUAAAAUUUACAAAUUCAUAUGAAUUAUUUUAUCAUGUUUAAUAAAUGAAACACAUAAAAGAAAAUAAAUAUACAUAUUAUCAUAUAUUUUAGUAAUUCGUUCAAUCAAUUUUUUAAUAAAAUAAUUUUGAUUCAUCCUGUAGUCAAUAUCAUAUGAAAUCAAAUCGUAUAAACUUAAAUUUACACCAAAAAUAUUAAAUGAGGAUACUUUAAAAUAUAUCUCAUCUCUAUCUGGUUAGAUUAUUAAAAAAUAAUCAUUAUAUAUUAUAAGCCCAAAUAACAAAAGUAUGUCUAUUAUGAUAUUUAAAUUCUAUUGCUCCUUAUACAAAGUCCAUGCAUAUUUAUCUGUAUAAAUAUAAAGAAUCACAUAAUAAUGUAUAUAAUUAUGAUGUUAAUAUGUUUAUUUAGUAUAAAUUUGUGAAUUUUAUGUAAGCAGAGUUUUAAAGAUGAGGGUGUUUGAACAGAACAUAAAAUAUUCAAAUUGAAUUGAGUUCGAGUAUUUCAUGAAAAUUUAAGAUGUAUAUAUUUUUUAAUAUUUAUAAAAAUAUUCCUUACCAUCCAACUAUAUUCAAAUUUUAAUAGUAUUUUUCUUAUGAGUCAUUAAGAUUAAAUCAUGGGCUUAAGUUAAUAUUUUUUUCUUAGUUAUUUUUAUAUAGUUAGAUAAUUUGUAAUUAUAUAUUUUAUUGAAACAUUAUUAUGUAAUAACAUUUUCAAGUGAAUUAUUAUUUACUAAUAAUAUGAACAAAUUAAAAUAUGCGAGACUCUUUACGUUCACUAUUUUUUGUCAACUUAUUUUAAACACAUAACACAUACAUGUACAUUUUUACAUAAUUUUUUUGAAAAAUAAGUAAACAAAAAGAAUUGACAUUAAAUAUUUCAACUCUUAUAAAUAUAUGUAUAUAUUUUCAGAAAAUACUACUAUACUUAUUUAUUUGUGAUUAGUAUAAAUAAUCCAACCGGUUCUAUAUAUGGAUUAUAAUAUUAUCGGUUUUCUCACUAUUGCACACGAUUGCUAGAAUAAAUACUUAACCCGACCAAAUAUAAAAAUUUAGGGCUUAACAUAACGUAUAUAACCCUGGAAGAAGUGGCCCAAUAUUAUUGCCCUCUUAGUUUUGUUCGGAGUCGGCGUUCUCUCUCAUCCAUAACCUCAAUCAAACGAGAUAGCGAAGGCUAUACUAAGGUUAAAUAGGUUCGAAUUAUGAUCUUUUGUUGUUGCUGUGUGUUUUAUGUUCUUGCAUUGGGUUACCAGAUAUAUGUUUACUAGUCCUUAACUGUUUUGUAAAAUUCCUCAAUCGAAAUAAUAUAACUGUGUGAUCUUUUUUAGAACUCCUACAAAACUUUAGUAGUGUGCUAGUCAUACUAAAGCUUGUACAAAUUAGUAUUUCCGCGUGAGGAAUCCAUCUUGGCGGAAGAUGUCUGUGUAGGCUAAGCGAAAGCUUAUACCGGAACCCGAGUUUGCAAUGCACUGGUGAUAUGUUGUGUACUUCUAUUAUGAACCCAAUUGAUCCCUAGAAGAAUCUUAUUCAUUUGCUAGAGCACCCAGUAAAAUACGUAGUUGCAUGUAUUUUGAACCUUGUUACAAUUUGAGGUACCGGCUGAAGUAUGCCCCCAAACAAAGCCCUAGUAUAAAGAGGCUUGCAGUAGUAAUCGGUGAAGUUAUUACCAGGUGCCAUGUGCUCUGUCGAAUUUUCACUACUAGAUUUUUACAUUUAGAUAAUUUAAAACAAAUAUUUGUGACAUUAAUGUAUAAUGUAUUGAUCUCAUUCUCAGCUUGUUAAACUUGUUCGUUAUAUGUUUGAUGACGAGAAUUAUACUAGUGUCUUUUAGAUGUUUGUCUGAUGCAUUACUAUCGAGUGGAACAGUUUUCUCUAUUCUUGUUGAUACCUUGUUAUAACUUUCUCUACAUUUUUUAUCUUUUCUAGAACUAUCUACGGAAGCUCUAGCAUGUUGAUAGUCAUUUAGUCUUGGCAUUUUUAGUAUAAAUAUCUGCUCACCCUGAACAUAGAUUCCGGCUCUGUCACUGGUUUUGCUUGCAGGUAAGAUUUUUUAAUCAUGCAAAGCCUUGGUGGAAAGAGGAAGACAGUUUGGGAACGUGAGCCUGCAUUAAACGAUAUAAGUGAGUGCAUUAUUAUUGUUGACUUAUAUAUUUUAUUGUCGUCGUACUUUUAACUUGAUAUGUGUAAAAGGAAAUAGUCGUCAAAAUUUAGCUCCGCUUCUUCGUACACAUUACAUACUUCUUCACAUUGAAGGAGAAUCAGAAUGCCAACCAAACAAUCUUUUUAGCUUGAGGAAUUACAACAAGAAAAUUUCCUCAAACUUUUCUCUUCUCAAGUAAAAGAUAAUUCUAUACUAGCUUUUGUAUGUAUUGGGAACCAAUUUUCGGCACAGAUGUGGUACAAAAAUGAGAUUUAAUUUCCGAGGAAAAGGUAUUGAUAUAGAUGACUUUAUCAGAAUGCCAACCAAACAAUCUUUUUAGCUUGAGGAAUUACAACAAGAAAAUUUCCUCAAACUUUACUCUACUCAAGUAAAAGAUAAUUCUAUACUAGCUUUUGUAUGUGUUGGGAACCAAUUUUCGGCACAGAUGUGGUACGAAAAUGAGAUUUAAUUUCCAGGGAAAAGGUAUUGAUACAGAUCCUGCCUGUGGUGGUAAUAUAAAUUCACCAGAAAUGAAUAAAUUUUGUGGUGAUGUUUGAACCUAUAAUUAGCCUGUAUAUAUAGUCAUGUAGUCCAACUACUAUGCCGCGAGUCCUUUCCAAUGACAUUUGAUGAUAGGAUUGAUAUUUUUAACAUUACAGACACUGAAAUAAAUUGGGCACUGUUUAUUUUGAUGAAUACAAAUUAACUCUUAUGUAUCAGAGCAUUAAACCUUCAUAUAUAUGCUUCUAAAUUCAAUGGGAGUAACUUGUAGUGGGAGGAAAAUACUUAUACUUACUAGUAAAACCAUGACUUGGUUCGGUAAUUUAAGAACUUCUUUAGUAUUUUUGGUCUGUCAUAAUUAUCAAUAGCAAUCAUUUGUGUAUGAUUCUUGUUGAUUAUAAUAUUAUCAUUUCUAUCUUGUUUCCAUCACUUAAUUGAUGUGCCAUUUCACAUGUUGGAUAUAUAUACAGGUCCACGUGAUAUGGAAUAUUUCCAUAAGUUAGGUAGCAAGCGACCAAAAUACAAGGAAAAAGAUUGUAAUUUGCAUCUGGAUGUUUAUACCAAGAUAGCUUUGUUAAAGGCUUCUCCUUCGGUUGUUGGCCUUGUAUCUUAUUCUGGUACUCAAUUUAUCCCAUUCUAUUAACUAUAUGAUUUUAUCUUUCGUAUAUAUAAUGUAUUGUCAACCUAUUAUAAAAGAGACUGUUUUACACAAUUGUUUAUGGUUUAGGUGAUGAGGAGAUCAUUCAGGGUUCAGGGACCAUCAUUGAGAGUAAUGAUAGUUGGACCAUUAUUCUGACUUCUGCAAAUUUACUUAGACGCCCCUCACGUGGAGAGUUUGUAGAAAACAGUUUGGUUGAUAAUCUCAAGGUAAAUAGUCUUUUUAUUACUCAGAAUUCAAUGAUAUUAGUGUUUAGGACAUCAAUUUACUUUAAUGCUAGUGGUACCAUGUUCCUCAUGUUGUUAGUUAUUUCAAAUUUUCUUUAUUUGUAGAUCACUGUGCACACAUGUCAUGGUAAUUCCUACCAUGGAGAAGUUGUUGCUCAUGAUUUUCACUACAACCUAGCUGCCAUAAGAUUCAAGUCGGAGAUGCCACUUGCAGCUGCAAUAUUGGCACAUGUGGAUGACUCCAUUAGUCUUGCUUCUGUUCCAUCUUCAUUUCAGCUACGUGCACAUUCGAAGUCAUCAAAUCUUGUCCCUGGUGAUAAAGUGAUUGCUCUAGGGCGUUACUUUGCCGGUGACUAUGACAUAAUGGCUGCUUAUGGAGAAUUUUGGUAAAAUGCUAACUUAUGAAAUUGUGCUCUAUGUCCAGUUACUGGACAUGCUCGCUAUAAAUUGUUACGUCAUUGUGGUUGGCAAGAGUGACUAAACUAUUUCAGUAUCAUCUAACAAAAGUUUGAUAGAAAUGUAAAUCAUAUACACUUUAGUACUGUGCUAGUCAUACUGUAGUUCAACACAUUCUUUCCAUAAAGCUCAUAUGAAUUAGUACAUUUGCGUCAGGCCUCAAGACCUUGCAGAGCGGAAAUCGGUUACUCUCUUGGUUUAUGCAAAAUGCAAAUAUUAGCUGCAUGUGCACCUUCUGUUGUUUCAGCCAUACAUGUACCAUCUCUGCAGAAGAUGUCUGUGUGGGCUAAGUAGAGCUUAUACCGAAACCUGUUGCAAUGCACUGGUGAUAUAUGGUGUACUUCUAUUAUGAACCCAAUUGGUCCGUAGAGGAAUCUUAGUCAUUUGCUAAAGUGCCUAGUAAUAUACAUAGUUGAACUUUGUUAGAACACCAAUUAAGAUUAUUGGCAGAAUACGUAGAGCAAAUAUGCUCCUUUUACUCCAGUUUUAUAUAUAUUCUGGUUCCUUCUUAUUUUGAUUAUAUAUAUAUAUAUAGAUUAGUGUUGUUGCAACUUUGGAGGCUAAUGUUUGUCUACUCUACCAUACUGUUUUAGUUGUAUUGCAUCAGAUUAUGUUUGUUUGUCCAUGAUAAUAAGAUAUUUGAUCUGUGUGUUAUCAGAAUAAAUACUAAUUUUAAUGCACUAGUAAAUUAAGAGUAAGCACAAGGCCGAUUACAUAUUCUUGCUCUCUUUGCCUUUUGUCAGCCUUGAACGUCCGGAGCCCGAAUAUGACUGUAGAGAGCUUUUCAUGGCCAAUUGCAUAAUCACAAGGGUACGUUCUUCUUUGCCUCUUGACAGUAAUAACAUUUUUUUUCUUAUAAAUCUAUAUUGUUGAUAUAUAUUAGUUACUAGGAUGUCCUCAUCCUACCAUAGUUAGCUUUAGCAAAUAUUAAGAAAAAAUAUAAGAACUUAGCAAAAAUCAUGGAACCUUAUGAAGAAAGUAAGAUUGUGUUGUUGGUUGGUUAAUGCUCAUCUUUAUGAGCGCACUGUACAAAGCGAGUCAUAAUGAUAGCCAAUGCUAGCUAAUCAAAGUUUAUAAUAGGUUCCUAUUAAGGAUGCUGAUAACGAUCAUAGCUUGACUAUCAAAUAGUGGAACACGUAACAAAUGAUAUGGUUCUUAGACAUGUUACAAUCUUUCAUCAUCUAGAUCUGUUUAUGUUAGUACUUGCAUAUUAUGUUAUUAUUUGCUUAGCUAGGCACCUCAUCAGGAUUGUUUUUAUGUUAGUACUUGCAUCUUAUGUUAUUAUUUGCAUAUUGGCCUGGCACUUUCAGUAUUGUUUUACUGCCUUCUUUUGAUUGUGUAGUCUGGUGAUGGCGGUCCACUUGUGAAUUAUAAUGGGGAGGUGAUUGGAGUCUCCUUUUAUGAUUAUGGAUUGAUACCAUGGAUUCCGAUUAACAUAGUCGGCAAAUGGUGGGCGCACUUCAAGAGAUCAGGGUAAGUAAAAGGACUAGCUCAAUAUUAUAAUAUGCUAUUGAUCUUACAUUUAUUAAUAAUAUUUGAAAUGUGGUUUGUUGAUUGUAUGAUGCACUUUCCUGGUUUGUUGAUUGUAUGGUGCAGCUUUAUUCGUUCACCUAGUUACACCGAUGGUUAGAUGCCUAACAUUUGAAAUUAUGGGGUUUCAUGCAAAUGGGGUUGGUUUUUAUUAAAAACCAUAAUCAGUUUUCUUUUUGAUUCUAGAAUGCGAAUAUUCAUUAAAAUUAUUUGUACUUAAAUGUCAAUUGUUCCCUGUUGCCUUUUUUAAUGCCCAUGUCUCUAUUACUGUGUGUUUGUAAACAUGUAAUUUUUUUUGCCUACACACACACACACACACACGCACACACACACACAUAUACUUAUAAAGCAAUUGUUCAGUUACUUUUUCAAGUUCGUACGUACUAUGACCUAUGACUAUGAGUGUGUUAAAUACUUGAACAAAUAAAACGUAUUGUAAUUCAUGUCACUUGUUGGCUGUUGCUAAAUAUAUAGUGUUAGUGUUUAUGUGCGGCAUGACUUUUAUGUGAACUUAAUCAUUCAAGUUGUAACAAAUCGUUACUUGCAAUAGGGAAUACUGCCGCCCUGCUCUCGGAUUUGAAGCAACAAAUCUCUAUGCAGCUGAUUCAUGCAUUUUGGAGAGGGUGAUGCUGAAGUUUCCUAGCAUUUGCAAAGGUGUUCUAAUAGAAAAGGUAACUUACAUCGAGUAGUUAAAAUUACAGUUAAUUUUAUUGAUUUUAUUACUACAAAUAAGUGACAAUAUAAUGUCUCACUGAUCAAAGUGUGUUUCUUAAAUGCACACUAUUGUGCAGGUAGAACCAGGUUCAUCUGCUGAUUUGUCCGGGCUCCAUGCAGAAGACAUUAUUGUUCAAUGCGGUGGGAGAACAGUUCAAAGUUUCCUUGAGGUAUGAGUAUGUUUUUUAGAGUAUAUUUUUUUUAAUGAUUUUAUGGUUAAUGCCUUCAUGAACGGAAUGUGGGUAUAAUGCGAAUUGUGAGAUGGAACUUACUAUAUGUAUGAUCGAAGUCUUUUUUUUGCUUUAAUUUAAUGUCUCUUCGUGUUAUGAAAAGGUCUAUAGCUAAUAUAAUGCUAUGUUGGGUCUAACCAUAUCCUCUGGUCUAUAGAUUUUUAUUUUUAUUUUGGUAUUUUUUGGUGGUGGUGGUGGUGGUUUGGNGGUGUCCACAUAUACAAGACUGAUCUGUAACGGCGGUGUAUCUAUAGUUGUUCUACCCUAUACACUGAUAAGAUUUGUAGAUAGAACAUUCCUAGGCACUUUAUAUUAUGCCUUCUCCAGAUAUAACAGAUAUAACAGGGAAUAGAUUGGGUGUUUGUAGAGCCCACAUUGUACAUUCUUUCAUCAGCUUACUAGAGUAGAUGACGGGGCGUCUUUUACGUUACAAACUUAAAUGUUAUUUAACAUCAGUUAACAAAUUUGAUCUUUAGCAGCUACCUGAUUGUUUGUGUCCACAUAUACAAGGGUGAUCUUAACUGUGGCGUUUGUCUAUGUUACCCGGACUCGGCUGAAAGUGUCCAAACCGGAUACGUGUCCGAGUGUCGGACUCGGCAAUAUUUUGAAAAAAUUUCAUGUUUUUGGCCUAAAAUAAGUGUCGGAGUGUCCAUACCCAUGUCCGAGUGUCGAGUGUCGAGUGUCCGACACGGGUACUCGAGGCAAAAUGAAGAGUCCGGGUAACGUAGGCGUUUGUCAGAAAAGCUUGUGCUCCCUGCUGAUUUACAGCUUUGUUACUGCAAAAAAGUUUCAUUAAGCUGAAAAAGUGAUAUGAGUUAUCUAUCAAAAGGUCACUUAUAUCCAGCAAAAGGUUGAAAUCACCUUAUAAAAAUGGAUUCAUAAAAAAAUUAGAUUUAAAGUAUGAUAGAGAGUUGUUACUGAUUCUGUUAAGAUGUUAUGUAUAGUGGUAUUGGGGGUUUGUUUUCUCAUACAUGUUUCAAUGUUAAUCUAUCUGUAGUGUUGCCUUCUGUUGUGUCAUCGACUACAACAAUAUGAUUCGUAAUCUACUGAAAGGUUUGGACAAAAGCUGCAAUUGGUCUAACUUAAUUUUAAUAUAAAACUGCUAUAUAUGUUAACCUGUUGCCUUGAAACUAGUUAUAGCUCAUUCUUUUUAGUUUUUAUAUAUCUGAUAUAUUGAAUAUUAGCACAAAUACUCUUUUGAUAUCCUAGCAGCUCCAUAAUGCAUCUAUAGCUGUUUUACCUUAUACAUUGAUAAGAUUUGUACAUAGAACAUUCCUAGGCACUCUAUAUUAUGCCUUCUCCAGAUAGACACAGGGGCUGGAUUGGGUGUUUGUAGAGCGCACAUUGUACAUUCUUUCAUCACCUUACUAGAGCAGAUAAUAGGGCGUCUAUUUGCAUUACAAACUUAAAUUUAUUUAACAUUAUUUUACUUAUUUGAUCUUUUAUCUGUACGGCAUAGUGAUAUUGCUGCAAUGAUAAAGUCGAUAGCUCAGAAAUAUGUUUGUAUGGUUGUUCUUGGAAUAUUCUCAAAUCCUUCUAGUGGAAAACAAUUUUAAAUUUAUUUUAUAUGUGCUAUGUAUCUGCCUAUCAGUUUCAGUUGUUGAGUGUAAUCAGCAUACUAAUGUCAUGCUUCUGAAAUGUUUUUGAAGCUACAUCAUAUUACUGUACUGGCGACUAAUUUUUGUGAUAAACAACUUGUGACCAUAAUUUAUCAAUGUUUAUAUAUUUGUUAUAUUGCAUGGGUAAUGCAUUUUAGUAGUUACCUUGGAUGUGGUGUGUUUAUAGUUCUUUCUUGUGGUUCUUCUCUGCGUAACUGAGUUUAUGAGAUAAUUAGUUAUGGUCUGCAUUCUCUCACUCAUCUGAAGAAAUUACUCCCAUAUACUUGACGUGGUCUAUAUACUGUUUCUUUCUUCUCUGUUAUUAGUUUUUUGAGGCAAUAUGGGACAAAGUUGGAAAUCUUGUAGAUUUAGUCGUGGUACGUCAAGGGAGUGAUACUCUCUUGAAUCUUAAUAUGCAUGUUGAAGCGACAUCAGAUCGCUUGAAUAGGUCAGUUUUUUUCAUGCAUUGACCAACAUCCACUAGUAGCACUCCGAUUUUUUAUUGAAUAUCUUGAUGUUUCAGGUGGCCUAGUCGGACCUACAAAUGAUAAGAAACUGAUUAGCUUGGCACCUUGAUUAACAGGUAAGACUUGAGAGAACUUUUUCAUCAAUAUCAUUUCUUGUGACCAUGAAUACAAUUGUUAUUCACUGUUGUGGUAUUAUUGUAUCAAAUGCCCGCACUUCUGUGAACAUGAAUCCUGUUGUAUUUCAGUACUCUUGUCGUACUAGAAUUUCAUGCUAUACGUGAUAUUUAAAAUAGUUCAUUAGUGUGAGACAGAUUGGGGACAUGCAUUAUUAAAUUUAUAUAUCUGUUGUGGACACCUCUUCUUCUCAAUCGUCACUGGUAAUUAUUAUUUCUAGACAGUCCUGUAAAAAUAUAUUUUUUGGUGAUUCUUUUAAUUCAAGACUCCUGUUUUUAGAGUAAGAUAUAGGGUUUUGUAUCUGAGAAGACUUCUUAAUUUGAUGUAGCGCUUAAAUCUAUCCAAUCCACUUAGAGAAUCACAACUUACAAAUAUCGUCUAAAGAUAACCUACAGUAUUACAAGUUAUACAUGUAUAAAAUGCGGCAAAAACUAUACUGACUAAACUCAAGUGAACCAUGCCCCCAAACAAUCGGAACUGGACAUAUGUGUGAACUGGUCAUAAUCAUAUGUAAUGCCCUAGAAUACGGAGACUCGCCAUAAAUAUCAAACUAAUGAACUCGUAUCAUGUUCUCUGACUGGUCACGUGGUUUAGCAAUUUCUAUAGCUUUGUUUUAAAUAAUCAAUGAAGGUUUUGAGUUCUAUUAUUUUAAUGAUAUCUUGGGCAUGGAAUUUGUUUUUUUUAUGCCACUUGUUUUUGGUCUCAAUCACCUAUUGUCUUGUUUUCUCCAACCCCGCAGUCACACGCUUUCUAGCUGGGAUUUGGUUUUGAUUGCUUAUUUAAAAUAAUUUUAUGCAUUGCAGGGUGAACUGUUAACAAUUUUACAACAUCCUUUUUGCAAAGUGUGUUCUCCGUUUUUAGGAUGAGAUCCUGACAGGGAAUUUAGCUUGGGGCAACCAACUAACAUGGACAAGUUUUCAGAUGACGAGAAAAAGUAAUGCAGUUUUUGACCCGUCUUUGGGGAUAAACAUGGUUAUCUGUAACACAAAUGCCUUGUUGCUAUGAUUAUUUAUAACACAAUAUAUGUUAUUUUCCUACGACAAUCACACAUCUUUUGAAUUUCUGUCAGUAUUAUUGUUUGCUACUUGGUGUUCUAUGGUUCCAACUUGGGCCAUUAUUUGUCAUUAAAAAAAAUCGUUUUACUCAGUAAAGUUUGUAUUAUGUAAACACAUGUUUGGUUUAUCUUGCUUUUAAAAAAUUAAUCAGUAAUUUAUGGAGGCAUGUACUUUUCCUUAGAGAGCAAGUACUUAUAUCUAAAUAUACAUAUUAUUAAAAAGGGUUAAUUAUCUAGUUGGUCCCUGAAGUGGGCUUAAUGUAUCAAAUUGGUCACUGAACUCAAAACGGUAUUAAGAUAGCCACUGAAGUGGCCAUAAAUAUCAAACAAAUAACUUGAAAUAUAAGUUCAAGCAGUAAAAUAUUAUUUAUAAAGUUUUACACAUUAUUUUUGAAUGUUACCAAAACCAAGUAAAAGGUUACGACUUCUAAUAUUUAUGAUAAUAUAUUUAGAUUUUAUCAAGUUUAUUUAUUAUUUAUUUUUAAUUAAAACAAAGAAAAUAACUAUAUAAUAAAAUAUAAAUAAUAAAUAAACUUGAUAAAAUAUAAAUAUAUUAUUUUAAAUACUAGAAGUCAUAACCUUUUAGUUGGUUGUGCUAACAUUUAAAAAUAAUGUGUAAAACUUUAUAAAUAAUAUUUUUACUACUUGAACUCAUAUUUCAAGGUACUUGUUUGAUAUUUACGGUGACUUUUGGGACCAUCUUGAUACCGUUUUGAGUUUAGUGACCUACUUGAUACAUUAAGUCCACUUCAGUGACCAACUUGAUAAUUAACCCUUAUUAAAAAGUAUAAAAAUUUGUCUUCUUUUUGAUAUCAAAAUGAGAAUUUUUCUAACAAAAUAAGUCCUUAUUCCUAUAAAUAAUUUCAUAAGAACACAUUUAUAAUCAACAAGAUGAAAGUAAAUAUUAACACCAAAUCAAUAAGUUACAAUCAGUUAGGAUAAUUUAGUACAGUAAAAGUUUAUACUGUAAUAAUCUAAUAUGCUAUAUUUUGGAAUAGAUAUGGUUAAUGCAUUUUAUAAAACUAAAUUGUAAAAGUAUAUGUAAAGUGAAGAGAGAUAUACUUAAUCCAUUUUAUAAAACUAAAUUGUAAAAUUUAAAAGGGUCAUGUUCCUUACCAGCCGAUUGCCGAGAAGGGGUUAUCUAACAUAUUGUACGAGGUCGUUAGAUUUAGAUUUCAAGGCUCAGAUCCAAUGUGAGUUUUUAAUAUAUGAGCUAUAAAUAUCCGCUGAAUAGAAGUAUGCCUGGAAAUGGAGUUCUCCUUUUCACGGAUAAUAUGUGCGGACCCGUUACAGUGUGUUAGAUGAUAGAGAUGUGCAUGGUGCGGUUUGGUGCGGUUUGCACUUAAAACCGCAACCGGAACCACAUAGGUGCGGUUUCUAAAAUUUGAAACCGAAACCAAACCAAAUAUCAUUGGUGCGGUUCGGUUUAUUAUAUAAGCGGUUUCGGUUUAUAUGUUGCGUUUCGGUUUUCAAACCAUGAACCCUUUAUAUUGUAUACAUUUUAGAAUUUUAUAAAAAUAGCUUAAACUUUGUUACCAAGUAGAACUAUUUAUAUUAAUACAUGCAAAUUAGCAAAAAACAAAGAGAAGAAUUCUACAGGCAGAAAAGGCAUAACCAUAGUGUAAUAGUCUAAUAUCUUGAAUUGACAAUAAGGAUGCUUUACAUUUCUAAGCAGUAAGCAGUGUGGUCACUAGACACUAGACAGUAGGCAGUGUAUCACAUAUCCAAUUAUAUAUUUUAUAAUACAUAUGAUUUGUAUAUUCAAUUUAAAUAUAUAAAUUAAAUAAUUAAAUAAAUAUAAAUAUUAUUGCGGUUCGGUUCGGUUUGUAUUCGGUUUUAAUAUUGUUGAAACCAAAACCGAAACCAAAGUAUCGGUGCGGUUUUUAUUCGGUUCGGUUUUUAUUCGGUGCGGUUUCGUGCGGUUUUCGGUUCGAUUUCAAUUUUCAGUUCGAUUUCUGCUCAUCCCUAUUAGAUGACCCCUUCCCGGCAAUCGAUUGGUAGGGAACUGGACCAAAGUUAAAAUAUGUAAAGUGAAGUUUGCACCUAAUAUUUGUGAUCAGUCGCUUGAACAUGCAUAUAUAUUAAGUCGGUAAAAAAAAGCCCUAGCCCACAGCAUCAAAGUUGAAGGAGCAGUCAUUCGUUGAAGGAGCAGUCAUUCUCGGUUACUCCACUUGUUAUCAAGCUCCGAUUUAGAGGUAAGAAAUUAAAAAACUCUAGGCUCAACUUACCUUUGUUCAGCUAUCUCUUGUUGUAUGUGCUGAUGGUUGUUUAGUUUAUUAUUCUAAUUAAGGGUAAAUUGUCCUGUGAGCUUUACUAAUUUCACUGAAUAUUUUUGAGCAUUGGGAUAAUGUGUUUUAUAUAUGGAAGAUGGUCACGAUAACUGAAUGUUGUCAGCAAAUUAUCAUUUUUCACGGAAAGGAAAAUAAUAUUUUAGGUUAAUGUACUGGAUUAUAUGACCCUUUAUUUUCGAUAAAGACUGAAUUGCACUUGGAAUAUUUUAGCGGGAUCUGGGUGGAGCUGAUAGUUUGAAGUGAACGCACUGUUUGGUAAUUGGUAGUUGUCUCUAUGCGUGUAGCAUAACUUUUGCUGCUCUGUAGGGAAGCAUAAACCGAACUGAAUAUCGAAACAAAGUCAUAAAUUGCGUCGAGUAAACCGCACUGAAUAUAAUUGAACCGACGAUUUUGUUCUAGUUUGGUGUCUGGAGUUUGCUGCACCAGAACCAAAUCAAAGCGGACUCUGUAGCAAAAAAUAAUAUGUUCUUAAGUUGUAUAACUUGAUCAUCAUAUAUAGUUUUGUGAUCUAGUUUGGUCUAUAUAGUGAGGGGGGUUAUCAUAUUCUAUUGACAAUCAGAUUGCAGAGCAUGCUCUAGAUUCAAAUGAAGUUGAUGAUCUAUCUAUAAUGUAACAUAAAGCAAACAUGUCCUGCACAAUACACUGGUCUUAUGUUUAUAUGUGUCUGGUGAAAGUGCAAUAAUGUCAAUUUCUGUUGAUUCUUGUUUACGCACUUUGAAUUGAUAAAUGAUAUGUUGAGUAUUUACUGGUUAAUUGUUAUAAGGACAGAAGAGCAUGCAAUUCAACUUUAAUACAAAAUGAAUCCUACUUACGAACCUGUCAAAGACUGGUUAGCAGUUAUAUAUGUUGUUAUACCAUUUUGUAAUCUUAACAUUUUUCGUUAUUAAAUAGAUACUGCAGCAGUUAUAUCAGCACUACAUUGCAUCAUGUUCGUCCCUAGCUACUGCUGUGUGAACUAAGAGCAUCCUUAAUACGAGUAACUUGGUUCAUUGAACCGCUAAAAUAUAAAAAUAGAAAACAAGACAUUUAGGAUACACUAAAGGGCUCAUCAUCAUGAUUUAAUAGAUGUAGCCAUUUAGUAUAGUCGGAGAUAACAAGACAUGUUCAAGACAAAUAAAUUUGUGAUACAUGAAAAGUUGAAAACAAGCAGCCCACCCUUCUAAAAGUAAAGUCUAAUAGGCAUGAUUUACUGAUUUAAGCUCAUUGAACACUCCUACAAAAAUCUUUAAAGAUAUCAAUCCUAUGUAUUUGUAUUGCUUGGUUAUUGAGUCUUUUAUAUGUACCCUACCCUUUGAUGCAAUAUCUGGAAAACAUUUUUAAGUGUUUGGAGUCGACGUCGACGCGAGCUCUCUCUAGUUGUAUGUGUUUGUAUUGCGUAAUUGGCUGAAUUCUUUGGUCUAUGAAUGAUGAAAUUUCAGGUCAUGUCAGGUUUAACCAACCGUCGUUUAUGUCACAUAUGGACUGAUGAAUUCCAGUCAUUUGGUUCCACCCUAAUAAUUUUCGGUUCAGGGGGACACAAUUUUUAAACGUUUUAUCUACGCAACAUGAACCUGAACCAUGACCCAGUAUUUCUAUUGUUGUUCUAGUUACAUGCGUAACAUAACAUGACGUACUUAACAUAUGGCCGCUCUUUCUUUCUCUUCUCCCUGCCUUAUGUGCUGCUGCUUUUCUCUUGAUUUUCUUUCUCCUCUGGCCUCUCUCGCGUCUUCCUUAUUUUCGCUUGCUGUCUCUUUCUCUUCAUCGUCUCUUUUUCUAGCUGGUAAUUUAUGAUUUUUCUCUUACUACAUUCAUUCAAGAUUAUAAAAUCCACACCGAUGCUGUUUGUCCAUUAUAUAGCUAGUCUGCUUACACUAUAAUAAAUAUUGUGUUUGAGGCUGGGGGACUUAUCUAUGGUUAUUCUGUUAUUAUUAUUUGGCAGUUAAAUAUUAAUAAACUAAUAAUGGCUUCACUUGGAUUUGUUAUUGAUAGAACAUCCACAUGUCAUUGAUGUUAACUCGGAAAGAUAUAAUUCCAACUUUUAUAUUCUGGUUAAUAGGCAAUUUCUUCUAAUUUGUCGACUGCACCUGGUUUCUUUCAUAUCAGAAAUAAUGAAGUUUUUUCUCGUGUUUUAUGUAUAUGUGUUGUGUCAAUUCUACUGUCCUUAAAGGAUCCCCAUUUCAACAUGAUUGCACAGCAUACUGUUGCUAUAAAACUUAAAUCCAUUCUUGUAUUUGACAUUGAUUUGUAUGUGCUAUCACUAUUCUUGUAUUUGACAUUUAUUUGUAUGUUCUGUCUUUGGGUGCCAGUUGCAACUAGUAAAAUUGGGUGGCUGCUUUGCUCACUACUGACUCGAUGGUAAUCCUUUUUUCUUUUUCUAAAUCAUUUCUGCAGUUUAUAUUACACAGCACAUAAAUUUAUGAAUCAAGUUUUUCAGUAGAGUGUCAUGGGUUAAUAUAUUUCAUUUGUAUUUCUUUUAUUAUAGGAUGCAGUCUAUGAUUCCGAGCGUAUUCAACUUACUCAGUUGUGUGAAAAACUAAAACCUAUUAUUUGGGUCAUUGAAAUAACUGGCAAAACUAAGGGGCAGAUGACGAAAACAGGUGCUACAGGAUUUUCCGUGCACAAUGAUGGUUUGGUAAUGACCUGUGCACACAUAUUCAAGGGAGUGAACUUAACUGAAAUUAAUGUUCGUAGACUUGAUGAAGAAAAUUUUAAAACUGCUAAACUGAAGGAUAUGCGAUUAAAGUGGGAUUUAGCACUCUUGAAGUUUGAUGAGGUGAUUGAUUGUAGCUGAUGGGUCGAUUUGGGAAGGUCAACCCCUGUUGCAUAUUGGGAAUCCGUUCAACUUUUUAGGAUCUUAUUUGAUUGGGCGUGCAUGUUUUCCAUGCGUGGCAGAUGUGAGCCCUCCGAGAGGUAAUGAAACUUGUGGCAGAUUUGACUCAACAGCCAUGAUAAAGACACCAAGAUACCGAGUGAUGGGACACGUGUGGAAUAGCGAAUAUUUUUCAAGCCAUCAGCAUUCCAGUUUUCCCUUUGAAAAAUCUCUUACCCCUUCGGUUCCCAUUAUCCAAUGCAAUGGAAUCAAUGCCAGACCAGGUUGUUCUGGAGGUCCUGUAUUUAAUAUGGAGGGAAAGAUUGUAGGGAUGCUGAUUGCAGGAGGGAAUGACUUUGACAUAGUCACUCAUGUGUCAGCUCUGAGGAUGUAUUUGGCAAACCGUUGCCAAUCCGAGGUUUGUAUAUCCACCAGUGUGAUUUGUUAUGCUAUUAGAAUUAUAAUUAAACAAAUCCUUAAAUUACUUAAUUUUACUAUUGUACAGGACACUUCAAAGAAGCAAAGGACUUGUUGAAAGGACUUCAUUUAGGACAAGACUGAUCGUACUAUCUUAUUUGUUUCUGAGAACCUUUUUAUGUUUAAUCAAAUGACAACAGUUGUAUUAUGUUUAGAAUCCUUUAUUGAUACAAUUGUCUAUCUUAUGUCUUUAGUGUUCAAAAUCCUUGUAUGAUAUAUUUGCGGCAUGGCCGCAUGGGCUUUGCGUUUUUUUCAAUGUUUCACAAACUAAUUUGACAUUAGUAUUUUUACUUCAUUUUUUACAAAAUGUAAUCUUUACAUUAUAGUUAAAAACAAUAUACCUUGAAAAAUAAUGUUUUUUAUUUAUUCAUAAACGUUAUUAAUUUGUAAAAACAUAUAAAUCUAAUUAUUAAAAAAAUCAUGCGAAAAACACAAUAUUUUCUUGUAAUCAGCUAAUCAAUUCCUUAAAUUUCUCGCUUGGAAGAUAUAAUUCCUACUAGAAAUAGUGAAACUUGCAAUGCAUGUGACCUACAAAAUCCCCCAUUCUUUCUUGCUUUUCAUCUCCAUGCCCACUGAAAAAAUUCUUGUGUGAUAGAUACUUAAAUUUGCACAGUUACAGCAAUGCAUUUGUACUUGAGUGUCGCCUUGAUUCAACUAUUUAAGCUUGAGCUUAGUCAUUUUUGUUGAUAUCUUCUUGUUGGGUCAGAAGUUAUGUUCAAGUAAAUGUACAAUUUCAUUCAUUAUGGUACUGCUUGAGCUUAGUCAUUUUUGUUGAUAUCUUCUUGUUGGGUCAUCAUUCAUUGAAGUUAUGUUCAAGUAAAUGUACUGUUCCAUUUAUUGUGGUACUCAAUCAUGUUCACAUGGGUUAUUAAAUAGUUAACUUGUUAGCGAGGCUUUGUUGUCAUCUUUUAAUUGGAAAAUUUUUGUUCUGAGUCUGAUGUUAGUAGCUAGGCUACAUCGUCACAUCCCAAGUCAUCACCGAAACGAGCAACAUAUUCCGUGCAGAGUCCUUCGAGGGACUCUCAUGAUGAGGAUAAGUCCUUGUCGAUGCAGACAACUCCGAACUUUAAUAGUCUUAUAGAGCAGAGCGGGUGAUCAACUUGUGUAGUCAGCCCAACUGCACAGGACCCAAAAUUUUCAUGGCCCCCCAACAUGCUUAUAUAUAAGACAAAAUAGAAAUUAGUUUUGCAAAAAACAAAAGCCACCCACAAAAAUAGACAUACAUAGCCACAAUAUUCCGACUAGAAGAGCCCAAAUUUUAUAUAGUAUAUGUGUGUAUAUAUAUAUAUAUAUAUCAGUUUUUCAACAAUGAGGUCCAAAAUUUAAGUUUAGCACAUGACCUCAGGCUUGCUCCCUUCACAGUUCACACCCUUCAUAUGGUCCGCACUCUAGGAAUUUGGAGGAAUGAUAAAGGGUGACCGGAGUGUAAUGUGAUUGUGGAAGAGGGUGAUUAUGAUGAUGAGAAUAGAUUUACGCGGAGGUAUCAGGCUUUUGAUUGCUUUGUUGGGCUUUUAGAGCAUCCCCAGCGCAAGCUCAUUUGGUGCCUGGGGACGCGUGAAGUGGCGUGGCUAGCUAUGUUUUGCGUUGGAGAAAACCUGAAAAACUAGCCACUGCCGCCAUGCCCGUUUCCGAGAAACUCUGCUGCUUUGGUACUGUACUAGUAUGGCUUAGAUCGUUGUUUCCUUAAUAAUUAUACAAUAUUUUAUUUGUAAUAUAUUAUAUGUUUGUUUAAAUUAAAUAAUAUUAUAUAUAUAUAUAUAUUCUUAUUUAAAUUAAAUAUAAAAAUGUAAUAAUAAAACAUUUAUAAUUAUAUUAUAAAUUAAAACAAAUACUUCCUCCGUUCCUUUAGAAAUGCAUAUUUUUACAACUCAAAAUACUUGUAAAAAGUCAAAGCGACUAAUAUAAAGAACAAAGAGAGAGUAUCAUGUAAGAAAGAUAAGGGCCUUAUUUGGGGAUUAGCGGUUAGCGGUUAGUUGUUAGCGGAUUGAAUUAGAUGUUUUGACUAACUGAUUGAGAUAGAUGUUUUGACUAGCGGAUUGGAUUAGCGGUUUCGUGUAAAACUGUUUGGUAAAUAUUUGUUUCAUUAAAUUUUUAUGACACAUACCAAAACCGCUAACUCAAAAAACUCCUCAAAGUAGCUUUUUGAAAAUUAGUUUUUUGAGCCCAAACUUUUAUUUCAAUCCGCUAACUAUCAAACACUAUUAGAUUGAAAUGGUCAAAUCUCUAACUCACCCCAAACCUCUAAUUUUUUUCCAAAACCGCUGACUUCCAAACACGGCCAAGAUCUGGUGAGACCCAUUAGUAGACCCAUUUAUAAGUGGAACUAGGCUUAUGUAUUGGAGCAGUGACCACAUAUUUCUAAAACUCACUUCAUGUUUAUGUGACAUUAAAAAGAACCUGGACUUGGACUCCCCAUUUGGGAUGCUCUUAAGGCCGAGGUUAGUGUGAAGGUAUGUCUCUGUUUGACUUUGUUUAAGAUGUUCCAUUAGCCCAUCACAGAAUGUUCAGGGUUUGAACCUUGUCACAAGACAAUACGGGUGUCUGUGUGUUUAAUUGCCUCUUUCUUUCUUUCUAAACCUAUAAAAUUCAAGAAGAAUUCAUGCGAUUAUCGUUGAUGCUGACACAAUGCUGCUGGACACUAUCCUCCAUGCCUUGCUGAAUGUGCAGGUUUGUUUGUAUCAGUUCAAGAACUGAUUUUUUGUUGUAAUGGUUCAGAUGUUUCGAGUGUAUCGGGUUCAGAGACCUUUGCGGGAGUUUUAUGUACUGGGUUCAGAUUGUCAAGAACUCUUGAUUAUUAUAAUCUUUCAAGGUGUGUGACUUGUAAGAUAUGUUGAAAUAAAUCAUAUUUGUAAUCAACGUUUUCAAUCUUUCAUAGUCGCAGGGUUUUAAUCAGUUCUGAAUCUUCUGAUUGAUGCCAAAAUUGAGAUAUCGGAUUAGUUUCCUAUUGAACUGAUGAACUGAACUCUGCUUUCAUGAUUGUUAAGUUUAUCUUUCAUUCUUAUCCUAUAUGGUUUUUAAUUAGAUAUAUAAGGCAAGCAUUAAGCUCGCCUAUAAUUACUUUUUUGUCUAUAGAUACUUUUUGCCUCAGACAAAAAUAAUCACGGCUUCAUCUUAUAUAUAAUCCCCCUAUUAUUACAAAACCUAACGAUCUCUCUUAAGACACCAUCGUUCAAGCCGCAGCCACCACAUCACUGAAGCAGCUCGGCAUGUCUGGAUGGGCAUGGUUUUUCACUAUUUUGUGCGCACUCGUGGUAAUAUUUGUAGUAUUUGUCAUCUUCGUCCUUUAUAGCUUGAAAGGGAUGGAUAAUUCUUGAGUUUAUGUAAACACUUGUGAUUUAUGUUAUAGUUGAUUUAUUUAUAUAAGUUGAUAAAAUACUAUGUAGUUAUGUAAUAUAUAAUCUCGUUCUCUAGAAACCUGCAAGUUUUGCUAUUUUUUAAUGAUGCUAUGAUUAUCUCGUCGUACUUUUUUUUCUUCUUCUGUCAUCUCUGCAUGUACUAAGAAGCGGUAAGAGGUUUUUAGAGUACCGGAAACUGGUCGAAUCGAAUGAUUUUGAGGCUAAUAUAAGUUCCGUUUGCCGUUGUUGAUGUAGCAGACAACAAUAACAGUUUUUUCAGAUUUCUGGUGAAAACCUGUUUGCUAAAUUUAAAUUCAGCUUUUCUAAAUAGUUUCCGUGUUUUUGGAAAAAGUUGUUUUUCAGCUUUUACGGGAAGCGGUCAUAUAUUUUAUCGUAAAACCUCACAAAAAACCUUAUUUUUUAUAUUAUAACUCAAAAUACGUAAAUAUAAAAAAAAAUAUCAAACAAUUAUCUGACAAAAGUGUUUUUCUUACCGACACUGUAUACAACAACACAACAGUUUUUAACAGCACCCCAAACAAAUCCUUAGUACAUGGGAGAGUAAAUUUUUUCUGUUCAUCAACUCUUUUAGUUGGAGUUGCAGAUCAAAACUGGUGUUCUCAAAUUUAUUUUCAACAUUCAAGUUGCGCCGCUUGAAAGAAGUUGAUUUUGAGGUCGUAAGAGUUGCAAACAAGGUUACACAUGAUUGCACCGUGUUUUUUAGUUACUCCCUCCGUCUCAAUUUAUAGGCUCAUUUUGGAAUAAACACACAUAUUAAGAAAAAAGUGGUUAGAUAGAAUCUUAUCUCAUGGAUCAUUAAUUAGUGCAUUGAUAAGUGAGAAUAUAGUUGAGUUUCAAAAAAAUCACAAUAAAUAUAGGGAUUUAGUGCAUUGAGAAAUGAGAAUAAUGUUGAGUUUCAAAAAAAUCACAAUUAAUAUGUAGAUAAAUUUGUAUUGAAAGAAGAGAAGGACAAGUAUUUUGGGACAAAUUUUUUUUCCAAACUGGACCUAUAAAUUGAGACGGAGGGAGUAUUUUUGAAAAAACCAAGGUUUUUAACCACAACCAAACGGGCUCUUGAGCUGGUGAUGAGAUUUUGAAGAUGUUGAACUGUAAGAAAGUGACUGCUCUGUACAAGCCAUGAGAUGCCCCUUUAUCUUCCUCAUCCACAUCUUAUUUAUACAUCAAGGUCCAUACAGCUCACCUCAAUCCAAAUUAAUGGAUUUAAUGCACAUGCACAUUCAUAAUUUCUUCUCCAGAAUGCAUACAAAUGAAUUUGUGUAAUGUGUUGCAGUGCAACAAGAACUAAGCAGUCUUUUUACAGUAAAAAUAAUUAUGGCUGGAGCUUUGUUUUUUUUGGCUUUUGAAGUAAUAACUCAUAAAUGGCUUUAAAAGAUUUGGUGGUUGAGGUUUUACCAACCUUCUGGGCUAACUUUUCUGCAUAAUCAAUUGCUUGCACUUUAAACAACAUAGAAUGUCAUCAGUCUAGAGAGUAUAGAGAGAUAGCCUAGUGGUAACUGUUUAUCUUGUGUCGUCUCAAGUCUUGCAUUCGAUUUUCGCUCACUCAUGGUUUAUUUAGAUUUAUUUGGACAUGCUCUAAUAAUGUCAAGGUUUGGAGAAAGCCGGUUUUAGCACAAAUUGUGAAUCUCUGUAACUGACCAAGUCUUGGUUUCAAUUUUCACGCACCCAAAAUUUAUUCAGAACAUGCUCUUAUUAUUUCAAGGUUCGGAGAAUCAUGAAUCAUGAAAAAUAUUUUCUUUCUAGACCAACUCGAGCAUUGUUACAUAAUAAAGAUAAGAGAGAAAAAACGUAAUCAAUAGUAGAAAUCUGUUCUUUUCCUAUAGACUCCAGGUAGACUUGGUGAAACUUGAGUAGUCUCUGUCUCUGUUAGCUGUGUAUAUUAAUAGGCAGUUAAGAGAGCCAAGAAACUACAAAGUUUGGCAUUGUUGAGAGAGUGACCUACAUACAAGUUUCUUCGUAAAAGAGAAAUCGGAGGAACAUGGUGCUAAAGAGAAGCAUUCACAAGGUCAAGAAUGUGUUUCACAGAAGGCUGCUGAACAUCAAGUCAUUAGUCUCGAAAAGGUACAAUCAGUUGUCUAGAGCCCCUUCAUUCAAAAGCAUCCCGAGUUGUAACAGCACCAGAAAAAUACUGCAGGUGGAUAUUUUGUAUAGGGAUAUAUCAGAAGAAUCAGAAGCUGAUCAUGAUGAAGUAGUGGAGGCGAAAAAGAGUAGUAGUGUCACAAAGAGCAUACAGAAGGUAUCUAACAGAAGCGUGAGAAGUAAUGCAGAAAAGAGUAUUAGUAAAAGUACGCGAGAAGAGAGGGUGAAGGAAGAGAAGAAGCUUGCAAGGGGAAGGGGACGUGUAUUAGCAGAGAAGAUUAAAGAACUCGAGAUGGUGGAUGCCUAUGACGAUGAUCAUAUUAUGGACAUAGAAGAAGCUCUGCAUCACUAUUCACUCCUCACCUGUCCAGCUUACCAAGAUAUCGUGGACAAUUUUUUCAUGGACAUGUACUCGGAGUUUCUACUUCCAGAGCCUUCUGCAAGCAUCAACAACUCGAUGAGAAGACUCCACUCUAUGAGGCUGUAGAUAAGAAUCUGAAAUCUUCUAGGCCUUCUAAGCGCGGUAUAUAUUAUAUAAAAUUAAAAUUUUCCAGUCUUGUUUUCUUUGAUUGAUCCUCCAGGUGUAUCUGGGAACAAGCUAUAGAAUUAUAGUUAUGAUAAACCUUUGAUGGUAAAAAAUUUCUCUUCUUAUUAUCAUCUUGUUACAUGUUCCUUAUGAUAUAAAAUUGAGUGCUGAGCGAUACUCUGCACUUAAAACCUCAUAAGCACCUUGAAAUCUUUACUUAAUAAGUUUGGCAUGGCUGAAACAUAUACGAAUAUCAGCAAAUUUCAUCUCAAGACCGACUAUAUCAUAGAAGCAUGUAAACAUGAAAAAUGGAGUACAUUUGCAGAAAACAAGAAAAGGUAUAUCAUCUUCUGAAAUUUUAACAUUCUAGGUUUCAGAACUAUGUAUUCCCAGAGCCCAGAGGUCCUUCUUCUGUGGAUGACAAUGGCACGUAUCCAAGUACACGAAUAGCAUUAGGUAAAACAAAACUGACAAACCGACGAAAGGAUGUGAAACAGACCUACAAAGCUAUCAUCUUAAAUAGCAGAGUGAGAUAGCAAGGCAUUCAUAACCUCUCUAACUUUGUCUAGAGUAUCCUCCACCUGUUUUCCUUGAGAAUUUACGAGGUUUUUCCAUCUACAGACAGACAACAGAUGCUACGAAGGUUAAUGCCACAUCGAGCCAACUAAAUGAUCAAUAAACGGGAGCCGUUCAAAUCACUGUCAAGUACGAGUUUUAAGGCCGAAUUCCUGGCCUUCAAGUCGCAAAGUUUUAACUUAAACAUUCUUCUUCCUAGAUGCCUUCUGCGGAUGAACUCAUCUGAUCGGCAACCAUGAUGCAGGGAAAAAUUCAUAAAUUUCGACAUACAGGUCAAUGGUCAUGAAGAUCACGUUGAAAUCCACUAGUCUACUACAUCUGCGAUCAGUGAAUAUGUUCAGAUGAUCCAGCAUUACGAUCACAAGCAAAUAUAAAUAUUUCAAAUAUUUUUCUAGUAAAAAUUAUUUUGCACUUUUUCUAAUAAGGAGUAUUAGAUCAAAUCCAAUACCACAGAAAAAAAAACCUUGAGUAUUCCAUAAAGUAUUUAAAAAGAAUUUUAUUUCACAUUUCUUACAUAUUCAAUAGAUUACUAUAUUAUUUUAUUCUUAGUACAUUUUGACAAAAUGAACUAAUAAUGUCCAUUUCCAAUACAAAACCAAACCAGUUUUGUAUCAUCUGAACUUAACUUUCUACAAUUUUCCCGAAAUCUUAUAGAAACUUCUGGAACCCAUAAUCAACCACCGGCACCGCCAUACUCCCCCUUAUAUCUUCAAACCCAUCUGAAAAAAACCCUCGUUACAAGCUCAAACUCAGCGAAAAAUCAAACACCUUGUGUGCAACAAUGGCAGACGACGAAAACGCCGUUACAAUCUACACCACCACCGCAAUAACCGACGCAAACAAGAACAGUUCGUUAUCAAUGAAGGUGGGUCUUGCCCAGAUGCUGAGGGGCGGCGUGAUUAUCGAGGUUAAUAAUGCUGAGCAAGCCAAGAUCGCUGAAUCAGUGUGUAGUUGUUGUUGAGAGUGUUGAAAGUGGCAUUUCACGGAUGCCUGACCCGGGAUUAUUGAAGGAAGUUAAAAGGGCUAUUUCGAUUCCUGUAAUGGCGAAAGCCCGGGUUGGGCAUUUCGUCGAGGGUCAGAUUCUGGAGGCGGUGGAGGCUGAUUAUAUUGAUGAGAGUGAAGUGAUUGGUAUUGCUGAUGAGGACCAUUUUAUUAAUAAGCAUAAUUUCCGUGUCCCGUUUGUUUGUGGAUGUAAGGAUUUGGGAGAGGCGUUGAGGCGGGUUAGAGAAGGCGCGGCAAUGAUUAGGACACAAGGGGAUGGGAUGAAGUUAGGUGAUGUUGUUGAGACGGUUGGGAGUGUCAGGAGAGUGAUGGGGGAUAUUAGGAUUUUGUCAAAUAUGGAUGAUGAUGAGGUUUUCACGUUUUCAAAGAGGAUUGGUGCUCCUUAUGAUAUAGUGAUGCAGACGAAACAAAUGGGGAGGCUUCCGGUUGUGCAUUUUGCGUGUGGGGGGAUUGUGAUGCCGGCUGAUGCAGCGUUGAUGAUGCAAUUGGGGUGUGAUGGUGUGUUUGUUGGACUGGAGGUUUUUGGAUGUGGGGAUCCGUAUAAGAAGGUGAGGGCGAUUGUGCAGGCUGUUAGGAAUCAUAGUGAUCCGCGUGUGCUGGCUGAGGUUAGUUCAGGGUUUAAUGAAGGAACGGCUAGCUUUAAUGUUAAUGAGAAUAGUGUCGAACAGUUUGAUGCUUCAAGGACCUAUUAACCGAAGGUUGUUAUGUGAUGUGAUGUAAUCUAGUCUUGUUCCGAUUUUGCUUUGACUGUGUACUGAUGAUAUUUGUAGCUAAAAUUAAUCAAGUUACAUGUCAUAAUCAAUAAAUUUUCAUGAGCCAGAUCAUUGUUGUGUUCCUUAAUUUGUCCAUCUUCGUUAGUUCAAAAGAUUUACUAUGAUCAGUCAAGUGCAGAAAUUUUAUUCUUCCAUUCCAUAUGUUUGUGCCCUGUUAUUUUAGUUAAAGUUGCGGUUUUGUGUAUAUGUAGUUCUCUAAAGCUUGCCAUUCUGACCAUUCCGUGUGUUUGUACCCUGUGAUUUCAGUUAAGGUUGCAGUUUUCUGUACUUGUAGCUCUUUAUAGCUUGCCAUUCUGACCAGUUGAAUCAUGGAAUAUGAAUUAGUAGAGGUAAUCAUACAUUUAGCUUGAGCAAGACUGAUGUGAGAACCUUCUGCCAGUGCCAGUUCUUUAUCGCAAUCUGCAGACAGCCACAUGUGAAUUUAUGUCUAAAACCGGUAUGGCUUUGCUGGCAAUAAGCCCUACUGUAAAUUUUCUGGCAAUUUAGGUGGUUUGGUUUUUGCAUAACCCUAGCUUCUAGCUGUUAUCUGUAAUUUCUUGUUGAAUAUAAGAAUUAGAUCUGUUUUGGAUCACUCUUUUUAGAUGGUGAAUUACCAAAGUUAACCUGUGAAAGAUCACCUUAUUUCAUUUGAACUGAAUUUGAAAGAACUUCAACUGCUAAAACUAUCAACGCAAAUCUCUUGCAAUAAAACACACAAAGUCAGUAGAGGAAGAACUAUAAACCUUACCGCAGACUGUCUGGCCUCCAUCAACGCAAAUAAUCUGGCCAGUGAUGUAUGAAGCUGCAGGAAGGCAAGGAAAUGCCACUAGUGAAGAAACCUCAUUAACUUCUCCACGGCGGCUAAAUGGAGUUCGUGAUACCAAGCCCUGUAGAUCUUCCUCCCACAAUAUAUAUUUUUAUGAUCAGUUAGUAGAAUGCUUAAUGCAGAUUCAUGUCAGAAUGCAGGAGGUAAAUUUUAAAAAAUUACUCUCAUCAUUUCAAUGAGUUCAGAUCUGACGAUCCAGGGCACCACACUGUUGACACAGAUAUUAUCCUUUGCCCAUUCGCAUGCCAAAUUCUUCGUCAGCUGGUUCAUAGCUCCUGUUUGAGACAUAUCAACAGUCAAUAUACAAACUACAAAACGUCAAUUAGGAGGAUACAAAUAUGUAUCAGACCUUUGGAGCAUGCAGAGAGAGAGUUACGUGGAAAAGCUACGACACCAGCUACUGAAGAGAUGAACACAAUGUUCCCGGUUCCUGCUGUUUUUAGUAAUGGAUGUGCAAGCUGACACAGAUGGUAAGAGGCCUCAGAGUUGGUGCCCAUUAUGCUGGAGAAAUCUUCUGCAGUGAAUUCCGGUGCUUCUUUGACAACAAUCAUUGCAGCAUUGUUCACCUAAAAGAAGUAACUCGUCACAUAUCAUUAGAUUUUAUAUAAUAUACGCACAACGGAAAUAAAUUAGAAAGAGUUCUAGAAAGAAGGAGAGAUCAGAUGGCCAAGGCAGGAUCAUACAAGAUUAUUGAGCUUUCUGCCAAAUUUAGAUGCCACAGAUUUUAUUAGUUGCUCGCGUUGGGAUCGUGAUUGCAGGUCACAGACCGGUCCUGAAACCAUGAAGCCUUUGCUUUUCCAUUCUUCUAAACGUUGAUCAAGAUCAUUUUGAGUACGGGAACAUGUAUAGAUUGAUGCUCUGAACCCUGCUAACUCUUCCACAAUCCCUUGCCUAUUUCAGAUUAGUGAAAGACAUCAUAUUAUAACAGCAUAAAUAUUAUUGUCAUAUUGUUACUGAAACGAAAUCCAUCUAAUCCAGGAGGAAUAUGAAGACUCACCCUAUGGCCCGGGUACCUCCGGUAAUAAGGGCAGUUGUUCUGACAAGAGACCAUCUUUUAUCUUCACCGACACCUGCUGUCGUCGUAGCCAUUGUUAUCUUGAGCCCGAAGAAAAUAUGAUCAGUGUGCAGAUCGGCAUGCUGGUGAGUAACUAUUCCAUCUCAUUACUAAAAACAAGAACUGAGCCUGAUGUUAUUAGCUGGAAGCCUAGAUCUGAUUAACGCAACACUUUUUAUUUGUUUUCACUUUUCUUUAUUUUCUCCUUUCUAAUUUCCAGCUUAAUACAGAGCAUAAAGCUUGACUUUACACUUUUUGGUAUAAACAAAGCUUUUACCCUGUAACUUUUACAACUCUGUAACUUUCCACCAAGCAACAUGUUCAAGACUCCUAAUGAGUAAUGGCAAAACUGUACGAAAUCAAAGCACACAUUUGUGACUAUUAUUGUUAGAUGCCGAGUAGAUAUGAAUUUGUUGAUAACCUAGACAGCCAGCACAGAUCAUGACUCAAGCCAUGAUAAUGUUUAACACAUGAAAAACAAAUGCUUUGGGAAGACAAAAAGCUUACAAUCUUAUUAACAGUGAUACAUAGGUUAAGGUAAUAAAGGUCACCGAGUUUAGCACAAAGUACAAAUCAAAUCAUUUUUCAACCAAAUCAUCAUAUUAUAAGACAGGGACGCUAUGUAUCUUAGACAUAGAGCGUCCGCUUUAGCUGUAUUGAAGCUUCAUUUCUUUCCGCUUUUCUUUAGCCCGGAACCUCCAAAAGCGCCUUUCUGUUGAGCCUUGGCUUUGAGCUCCUUCAGUGCCUGCAGAGUACAAGAACAGCCAUAUUACACACUACAGCAAGAAGACGGAGAUUAAUCAUGAUUAGGUUAAAAAGCAUGCAACAAAAUCUAACCUUUUCCUCUUCUUUCUUCUUCUGGAGCUUAGCCAAAUCAUCCUGCAUGGACCAAAAUAUUUCAGUACCCCAGUGUUAACACGAUACUUGAAUUGUCCCAUACCCAUGUAUAUGUUAUAGGCAUAAUUUUAUGGAAGACACUUUAAAUUUAGUUCUCAUACUCACAUUCACGUGACUUAGUUGAUGUUAUAGCAAAGAGACAAUCACACUCCACUCAGGGUUUGCCUUUCUGUUUGUGCUUGGGCAUAGUUCAGGCACAUUAACAUGGUCGAGGGUCUUGAUGAUUGCAACGAGAGUAAACUCAGAUAUGCAGUAUAGUAAUUUUGGAAUAUCAUAUUGUUCAAUAGUUCAUUAUAGACAAUGUGAUAUAUAUCUUCAACUUCGAAAGAUUGAGAAAAUUGCACUAUUCAAGGCUAAUGGAGUGACGGACUUGAUUACAUUUAACAUCAGGGACUACUCUCGCAACACUGACAGGAUUGAUAUCAGUCCCAACAGAAAAGAAAAUUAACAAUAAAUUAGCUUUACUUGUGGUAUAAUUUUGCUGAUUUACAAUGUCUUAUCUAGGUUUCAAUCACGUCCAAAGAUUAAGAAACUGUAGUGCACUAGCUUAGUUGGAGAUAAGUCCAAAAAUCGUGAGCUUAUGGUUUACAAAGACUAAUUCUUCUAAUACCAAAUCUAUGCAGAGGAUAACAAUUAUAGCCUCAAAUUGUUGCAGCAAACAAUCCCUCAUCUAGUACAUAAGCCCCAACAAUAAAGAAUCGAUAUCCUCGGCUAAACAAAUCACAAAUAUUUUCUUACAUAUGCUAACGGCAAAAUUCAAUCUUUCCAAAUUUACAGCACUUCAUCCCCUUCUUAUAAACACAAUAACAUAAAUAAAUUCCCAUACAUUCAAUAUCGAUCCUCAAAAAAAUAACACACACAAGAAGCAAGAAAGGCAACAAAUUGAAAAGGGUACCUCAUCAUAUUCCUUCUUCUCAGCCUUGGGUGCUUUCAGAGGCUUAGCUUUUCCACCUGCAUAAAAAUGAAGAACCCAUAUAAUUUAAACAAUAUUAAGCUUGUUGGAACCCUUUUAGAGCUAAAAUCAUAUGCAAAUUUUACAUAGAAAAGCAAAAGACUAUGUCCUUUUUCGAGAUGUUGAGUGUUCGAACCUUGUCAAUAACAAAAAAGUGCAUAAUUGUGUUAAUUAUGCAAAAAAGAAUAAGAAAAAUACCUUGCUUGGAUGACAUGGUUGCUGAUUUCUAGGGUUGGGAUUUCUUGAAAAAGAACAAUAAGCUGACAGUGUAAGAAAUGAGAGCAGCCCUUUAAUCUAGCUUACAAUGUUUUUCUAAUUACCAAGAAGAAUCUUUGGUGGGUCAUGUUUUGGCUUAACGGGCUUUGAUGGAUCGUGUUUCGGCUUAAUGGGCUUGAAUUGCUAAAUGUAAAAAACGUAAAAAGUCUCCCAGUGAAAACAAGAAUAAAUAUCAAGUGGCUGUAGUUUAGUGGUAAGAAUUCCACGUUGUGGCCGUGGAGACCUGGGCUCGAAUCCCAGCAGCCACAUGAGUUUGUAUUUUUCUUCCUUUAUCGGUAUCAAGACGGUGACUGAAGUCAUCGUAAAUAUCAAAUAAGUACCUCGAAAUAUGAGUUCAAGCAUUAAAAAUAUGAUUAAUAGAGUUUUACACAUUAUUUUUAAUGUUCUCAUAACCAACUAAAAAAUUAUGACUUCUAGUAUCUAUGAUAAUAUAUUUAGAUUUUAUCGAGUUUAUUUAUUAUUUAUUUUUAUUAUCAAGUUUUGUUUUCAUUAUACACAAAUAAUAAAUAAAUUUGAUAAAAUCUAAAUAUAUUAUCAUAAAUACUAGAAGUCAUAAUAUUUUCGUUGGUUGUGGUGACAUUCAAGAAUAAUGUGUAAAACUCUAUAAAUCAUAUUUUUAAUGCUUGAACUCAUAUUUCGAGGUACUUGUUUGAUAUUUAUAGUGACUUCAGUGACCAUCUUGAUGCCGUUUUCAGUUCAGUGACUAACUUGAUACAUUAAACCCACUUCAGUGACCAACUAGAUAAUUAACCCUUUAUUGAUUAACAGAUGGAGUUGUAUGGGUGUACAAAUAUUAUCAAAAUAAUUGAUUUGUCAUGCAUGAACAGUAACCGAUUGCACCAAUUAAUCAAUCAUCAAUAUACUUAUAUAAAGGAGAAGCGAGGGGCGUGUAGUUGGCGCCUCUCAGCUUUGUUCUAUUUUUCUAAUAUAGUAGGUUGCAACGACAUCGUUGCAACAUACCACUACUCUACUCGUUGGUGGUGCCGUUCUAAUGCAACGACAUCGUAACCCGUUAAAUCCUGGGAAGCUAUCGUUCUAAUAAAUUUGAUACACAUAUGCAAAUUAUAUGAGUGAUGGAGAAGAAAAAAUUUACCAAACGUUUUAAAAAUUCUUUAAGUGUUGUAACAUGAAUACUAAUGCAUUGAUCACCAUUUCUUUCAGACAUUCUUAAAAUCUCUGCUGAAUUGAUUAUUGGAUCGCUCAAAUCUCUUUCACUAGAAUUAAAUCCAUUUAACUCAAUAAUCGAAACAUGUGCAUGAAAGUAUCGUGCAAAAUCAAAUUCAAAACCUUCUGUAUCCUCCACAUACUUGUCAUAAACUUCCUUAUUUCAAACAUGUCCUAGUAUUGGAUAUGGUAUAUUUUCCGAUUGUUUAUCACAAGGCCACAUCUUGCACUGGAUGACACACUCGGCCUACAUGAUAUGAUUCAUUGAUCAUAUAUCCCAUGUGUAACAAUAUUUCUUUCUUCCUUAGUGUGCCUCAGCUGCGAAAUUUUCAACGUAAUUGCAUCUUUUGUCACUUGGAAGUUGGAAAAUAACUACAUCCCAAUUUUUCAUCAUGAAAAUUGGUUGGAGAUCUACCCCUCUCGAUUAGACAAAACUUACUUGCAGCACUCAUAAUCAUCUGAUGAUCAAUAGUCAAUCCAGCAAAACGCGCAACAUAUAAUAAUGAGUGAAAAACAUAAUAAUAUGAGUUAUUCACUACUUCAAUAACCUAAGUUAUUUUCUCUAAUAUACCUCGCAUCUUAUCAUGUUGGACAACGUUUGAAUCCUAGAACAAACGAUACUUAAUACUAUAAGUCAUUGACACAUAUGUACGUAAUUCCUAAAAUUAGGCAAAUUAUAGCAUGAGAGUGAUAUAUAUACAAAAUACACACAUAAUCAUAGUAAAAGAAUAAUAUAUGAUAACUAGUUUUUCAAGUGAAAGAAUAAUAUAUGAUAACUAGUCGUACAAUAGUUUUUGAGUAUAGUAGAGUAUUAGAUUUGAGAAAAACAUAAAACUACCAGUAUUGUAGAUAAUAUUGUGAAAACGGUAAAAAAGUGUUGUGCAACGGUAAAUAAAUGUUAUAAACGGUAAAAAAUUAUUUAGUCUGAAUAUUAAAUUUUUGUUCUCUGUGUUAUCAUUUUGGUAUUGAUCAUUGUAAUCAAGGUGGACAUGACUUGUUUAUUAGUGAAUAAUUUAAAUAUUCAAAAAUGAUAAAAUCGACAUAACAUUUAAUGGAACGAGUCAAACUAAAGCAUUAACACUACAAUAUUUAAGUAUACUUGCAUAUCCAUAUGUUUUGAAGUAUUCCCACCAUUUGCGAGCUAUAUUUAUAGGAAUAAAUUGAGUUGAAUCGAUAUCAUAGUAACUGACACCGAUUACUUCUCCGUGGCAAUUGAUUAUGGGAGCUCCAUCACCAACCUACAGUCAUAUACAAAGUCAUCAGUAAAUUUAUCAACAAAAAUAUCAUAAUCUCAUUAUCACCAUUUACAUUAAUCAGGAGAAUUGAGAGGGAAAGANUAGCUGCGAAAAGUUCUUUGCAAUCAUAUUCGGUGCGCUUAAGCCUAAAGUAAUCAAACAAACCAAGAACAAGUAAUCAACAUGAGGUCGAUGUAGUUUUACCACUAAUAUAAAUUAUUAUAUAGACAAUAGAAAAAUUAAAUAUGGCAUUGUCAUAUCACAAAAAUUAUAAUUAAUAUACAAAAUAAAAACCAGAUAAGUAAGGAUGUGCUGUAGACAUUUAUGAAACUGAAAGUUGCUUACACAUAGUAAUCGGGGGCAUUCAUAAGAACAAAAGGCGGAUCAAAAUACUGGCCUACAACAAUAACCCGAUACCCGGGAGUCAGCUUAAAUGCCUCUGAAUUUGGUUUGAGUAAUGGUUGUCUUGCAAAAAUAUCCAUCGAGUCAUCUACAUGCGCUAAUUUUGCAGGUGCAUAACAAAUAGUUCAUGUGCGAUACUUAGGAUUGCAAGAUUGAAGUGGAAGUCAUAUGCACACACUUAUUCGGCAAAUGAUCUACCAUCAUAUGAGUGCAUAUAAACCUGCACAAAAAAUUUCAAAUAUUAUCAUAUUGUAUCUAUAAAGAUAACCAUAUAAUCUCAUUUCAUUCUAAUAUUCAACUUAAAGCUUGGAGAGUAAGUGGUGUCUGAGAACCAAAUUGACAAGAUUUAAAUUCACGAAUAAAAUUUGAAUACAUACACAAGACAAUCAAUAAACAUAUGUGGUAUCAAUAGUAAUACCCUGAGUUUCCUAGCUAGCACGUUUUCCGUAUCCUCAACAUCAUUAAGAGGACACGGAGGACGCCUAAUCAAGUUGGCUGACGUUAAGACAAUGGCCUUAUUAUGGUGCCACAACCCCGGAUGACAUCCUGUAAUUCUACAUAACAGAUUAGAAAUUCAGUAAAAAAAACAAUAACACAAAUGUAGACAAAGGUAAAAGGAAAAUCAAUACCACAAAAACAUUCAAGUGCAACAACAGAACAGCCCGUCUUAAUAGCAGCUUGUUUUGUGGUUUCAUCCGGGAACUUAUUAUCAUCAUUUCCCUUUCUGAAUUUUGGUAGCUUCGAAGAGUAUUCAUACAGGUACCUCAUCUCGCUUGCAACUAUAUAUAUAUACACAUAUUAAUUUACACACCACUUUUAUCAAUCCAACUAAACAAACACACACGGUUAUAAUUCAAAUUUUGAAAAUAUAUAAAUAAUGUUGGUAAUUUUUAUAGCUAAAUAUAUACAAUGUACUCACAUGAAUUGCUCGAGUCUCCUCGCCGUUUUCAAGGGUUUACCCUCCUUUCAUUCAUGAUAUAUUUCGGCAAUUCAAAAAAUUUUAAGUGAAAGAAUAGUAUAUGACUAAAGUAGAGUACCAGAUUUGAGGAAAAAUAUAACAGUACUAGUAUUGUAGAUAAUGUUGUGAACAGUAAAAAAAAUAUCAUGCAACGGUAAAAAAAUGUUGUGAUACAGUAAAGAAUUACAUAUUCAGAAUAUUAAAAUUUUGUUUUCAAUGCUAUCAUUUUGAUAUUGAACACUUUAAUCAAAAUGUACAUGACUUGUUUAUUAGUGAAAGAUUUAGAUAUUCAAAAAAGAUAAAUUGGACAUAACAUUUAAUGGAAUCAGUCAAACUAUCGUAUAAAAAAAUUGAAUAAAUAAAGAUCGAACUUUGAAAAUGAGACUAAUUUAAGUGAAAAAAUUGAAAAAAAAGUUAAUAUAUAAAAAACGAUUUUAGCAUUGAGUUUAACAUAACCAAUUAAAUUAGUUAACGUAAACCGAUUGAUCGACGUUAUAAAAAUUAUGUUCGAUCCCUUACUUUAAAUUUUACGCUCCUUGGAACUUGGGAAAGUAUGAUGUCCCAGAGUUCCAUCAUAAACACUGAUUUAACAAGUGCCGAAUCAUUGUGUUUACACAUACGAGCUCUAAUUUUUACGGAUUUAUCCUCUUUGUUGAUAACACGAAAUCUAUCGGCGGAACUCAUAAUCAAAUGAGCGCCAAUAGAAAAUCUUGCAACUCGUAAUACUAUCUCAUCACCUUCGACUACUUCGAUUAGUCAUGUUAUUCGUUUUCUUUUUGUGUUGCUAUUGAUAAAGGCGAAUUCAGGAUUUGAUAAAUGUGGAUGCUUAAUUAAUAUUAAAUUAUUUUUUUUGAAAGCUGAUCAAGUGUCAAGUAUAAAUCAUGCAUAUCAAAUCUAUCACUAAAUACUACUAAAUUCUUUUCAAGGUGCUUAUUUAUAUAAAAUUUAAAUUUUAGUUAUAAGUUUUUAAUUUGUUUUAUCACAAAGGUGCUCGAGCCCUCUACUAGAUCUGCUUUUCCGAUUGGUCUCUUCUAAUUCAUUAAUUAUUUAUAUUUUCUCCUUUUCCAAGUUUGUUAAAGGACCGGAAGAAGUGGCUGUGAAAUGUGAAACGAUUUGUUCACCAUUUGUGGGGUAGGCAUGUAGCUGAAUUUUAUGAGUAAAAAUAUAGAAUAUGCACCAAAAUUUUCGCUCAUGUCAAUCAUUAAUCUUACUUAAAUUUCAUUUAUUCAAAAUAUCGAAAAUACAAAAUUCGUUGGAACAAAGUUUUUCAUUUAUAAAAAUAUACCAAAAGAGUAAGUAAGGAUUCCUAGACAUUUAGACGAUAAGAUCUUUAAUGUCUAAAAAUAUAACUCAGCUACCGGCCCUUAUUAAAAGUCGGCAGAAAAAAUUUCAAGAGAACAAAAAUGUCUUAAAAAAACAAAAGUAUAUAUAUUAAAAAGAGAUUACAUGUAAAAGCUAGUACCUUCCUAUAGUUACAAGAAGGUUGGGAGCAGGUUCCUAUUGGCGUGUGGUCGAAUUUAAGUAGGAGUUCGUAUUUUGGGGAAUCCGAACACCAUUUGCAUGUUGUUGAGGCUUGUCAUUAUGACACUUCAUUAGGGUUAAAAAUGGGGCGAGUUCGGGCGGGGACUUCAUUUCUCAGCCCCACCCCAUAUAUAUUUUUCCUACCCCGUCCCCGCCCAAUUCCCCGCGGGGAUAUAUUUUUAAUCCACAUCCCCGCCCCGCUGGGGAUUUAAUAUAAUUCCGCCCCGCCCCGCUUCUAUAUGUAAUAUUAUAUUUUAAAUAAUUACUUACAAAUUUAGUAAUUUUUUCUUCAGAAUUUAAUAAAAAUAUACAAUGUAUGUAUAUUAAAAGCAAAAAACUAAGAUAAUGCAUGCAUGUUAAAUUAGAAUAACAAUAUAGUCAUGCAAUCUUUUUUUAAUAAUCACUUUGAAUAUAAAAAAUCAAAAAGACACGUUAUACAUAAUUGUAGUACAAGUUGAUGUAUUGUCUGCCAACUGCAAAGUGAUAGUUUUGUGUAUUAUAAAAUAAUAAUAUUAAAUAUUAUUAUUUAUUUAUAUUACAUAUAUGCGGGGGGAGGAGAAUCCCCGCAGGGAUUCAACAUAUACCAUACUCGCCCCAGAAUUUCGCGGGGCGGAAAAUUAUUUCCCGUCACUACCCUAUUUUCCAUAUUAACGGGCGGAUCUGCCCCAUUCGGGGCGGAUUGGGGCGGUUUCCCAUUUCCCCACCCCAUUUUUAACCAUACACUUCACUCAGCGUGUACGAGAUGAAGAAUGAUUACUCAUAGUGGUGUGUCAAGUACCAAACCGAUCUUGAUCCAGUCUCCAAAGAUUUUUCCAGAGAUAAAAGAGAAAGAUAUCUUCGACGACGAAAAUGAUCCUGAUCAUGCAGUUAAUGUGCCCUCACUUAUUAGAAGGGGAAAUUUCUAUGAGGAUUCAUUCGUGGUACUGGAAAUACCUGGUAAAGCUAUACGUUACAAUCUCGUGGAUAGAAGAGCUUCCAGUUGAUACGGGAUUUUGGUGUAGAAUUGCACUUCGAUCCAAUAAUAAAUGACUAUGCGUUAUGUGAUUUUACGGUUUGUCAAUAGGGUUAAUUAUCAACUCAAUAAAAAAACAAAUUUUACUUCUCGAAAAGAUAUUAGAGGUAUUUAUUUAAUUUUUUUUUAUGACUUUAGUGUUUCAAAUGAGACCAAAAAUUUCGGAGUGAUUCAUUUGAUAUUUUCUAGUGUAAAAAUUGACCUAAUUGAUAAUUAACCCUUUGUGAAUACAUUACUCUGAUAUGAUCCUCGAGCUGUGAAAUCUUUCUGAUUUAAAAAAUAUUGUUCGGAGAUCUUUUUCGUAAUUGUUGAUUCUUUACUCUUUUUAUUCGUUUAUUGACUAACCAAAAUAUGGCAUAACAGAGAUAAUUUUUAGGACAAGCUAUCGUGAUUGUGUCAAAGUCUCUUGUCAUAAUGGAGUCCUAAACAGGAGUGCAUUUGAGAAAUAGACUUAAAAGCAAAAACAUCAAUCCUCGUCCAUAAGCAUAAUAACUGCAUAAGCAUGGAUGCGAGGCUUAAAAGCUGCACAUCUAAUAAAUCUAGGUCUCAACUCAAAUCCUUCAGGUCUCAUGAAGCCGUUCUUAACAAUGAGGAUUUGUUAACAUUGAUCCUGUUUCGUGUGCCUUGGACACAACUCAAGGUAUUGAAGUGUGUUUCAAGACAAUGGCAUUCACUCAUCACCACUUCGCUGCCUCCUCUCCGUGCCUCUGGUCUCUUCUGUAAAGGCCACUUAGGUUUUGAUAAACUCUAUUUCGUUCCUCUAGAUGAUCCAAACUUUGCUUCCCCACUCAGAGCUCGGACUUUUAAUCUUGAUCAUGAAAAAAUUCUGUUUUUGCACUCCUGCAAUGGCCUUUUAUUGUGCUCUGCUGGUUUCCCCGACUCUUACAAUCCACGUAACUGUAACUGGUAUGUGUACAAUCCUUCUACCAAUCAGUUAGCUGCGCUUCCUAAACAUCCUGACAAUGUGUAUUUCAUGGAUCAUAUUGGCUUGGCUUUUGAACCUUCGAAAUCACCUCACUACAAAGUCAUUGCUUUUAUUAUGACAACAAGAGGAAAUUUAUUUGGUGACUUUCAUAUUUACUCCUCUGAAACAGGGACUUGGAGGGUCUCUGUACAGUCCUUUUCCACGAGGGGAAUGCACUUCAAGCAUGGUGUCUAUUGGAAUGGGUCUAUACACUGGUUAAGUAGAUUAGAGUCCCCGUUACAUUCAAAAUCUUCUCUUUCUGAAUGUUUGUACUUUAAUGUGGAUCAAGGAAGGCUGGGAACCUUUCCAAGGCCUCCUAUUCACCUGAGGUCAAGGACAGAAAGGACAGUGUAUUUUGGAGAAUCAGAAGACCAUUUGCAUGUUACUGAGGUUCGUGUUGGUGACACUUCACUCAGUGUGUAUGAGAUGAAGAGUGAUUACUCCGAGUGGUUUGUCAAGUACCAAAUUGAUCUUGAUCCAAUUUUCAAAGUUUUCCCUCAGCGGCGGGCUAGAUCAUUUUACAAGGCUACUUCUGAUGAUAAAAUCGCUUAUGAAUUUAAUGUGCUCUCACUUAUCAGGAGAGAAAAUUUCCGGGAGGAUUCAUUCUUGGUUUUGGAAAUACAUGGUCAAGUUAUACGCUACAAUCUCAUCAAUAGAAGCUUUAAACUGGUACGGGACCUUGGUGUAUGCUUGAGAGCAACUGUUAGUUAUUGGCCCUUUACAACUAUUCAUGUUUGGCCGUACAUUGAAUUUCUAUAGUCCGUGUAGUUUAGCAGUAACAACUAUAUGCAGAAGAACAUUAGUGUACUAUUUUUAGAUGCAUUAGUCAUAUCUCUAGAAGCGCCAUGUCUUUUUACUUCAGUUUGGUCUGUGUUUGCAAUGCCAUUUGUUGACAGUUCAGUUAAGUCCAAAUAACUUGUUAGUUUUUUCUUCUGUCACAUCCCUAAAUUUAAAUGCACAUAAACGCAAGUAGCUGACGACAAGAGGGUAUUUAUGUAUAAUAAAUUAUCAUAAUUAUAGUUUCUCAUUAGCAUGUCUCCCAGGAAAUUCGAAACCACCAAAAAAAAGGGAAGAAAAAACUGCAAGCAUAAUAUAAUUACAUACACUUGUAUAUGAUUCUUGAUUCUUGCCAAAGGAAAUAGAGUAGUUGUAUAGUUAGAGACUAAUGAGGUUUGGGAACUCUGUUUUAUUACCAUGAGCAUGAAUGUCAAUCAAAGGUAUCAAUGCCUUCAAGUGUUCUUCUCUCGACUUGGCUACUUCUUCUCCCAUCACAAAAAAUUUUGAAUGAUCUUCAUCGAAGGCCUCCCAUUGCUCUGUCACUCUCGUCUGCAAGCUAUGCCUGCCCGACUCAUUUUGCUCGUCUAUUUUGGACUCCAGUGUCACCAUAGUUAAUGAUCCUUCUGCUGUAUCAUUGUUUUGUUCAUUACCUCUAUCCGUAGCUUCGCUGAUAAUAUGCUCCAGCAUCCUUAUAUCUUCUUCUGCAAUGUGUUUCACUCCCGGGAAGUUUGCAGCAUUAUUAACACCUAAUUCUCUGCAAAAUUCAAUGUACAUACAGAGUUCUUUCCCCUGCACGUUUGCUUUAUGCAGAAUUUUGAGUCCCAUUGAUGCUUCCACCUUCCCAGCCGAACAAAUUUGGAACAAAACUGCAGAGAUACCACUGCAUAUUCUACUAUAAACAUCAAAAAUCUCAAUGAUCACGCAAUCCAUAGCUUCAAGAAUCAAAUUCUCCACCAUGGUCUCCGAUCUUGGUUUGAUUUCCAUCAACAUAUCAAGCAAAACCUGCAUUUCUUGAAGCCACUUAAGGCACUGCAUCAUCGAUGUUGAUGUUUUUUGUUCAUCCUGAUCUGCCGCAACUUUCCUGAGCUGUCCUUUAUAUUGCUCCUGUGAAUGUGCAUACAAGAAUGAAGAUUUACAAUCAAGAAAGCAAUAAUAAGCCUGUACAAAAGUAUCAUGAUCCCGCUUCUCCCCGUGCUUAAAAUGCCGAUCCUUGAAGCUAGACAAAUCAAAUGGUAACCUCCCAAUCAUCUGGACCGCAGGGACUCUACAAGAGAAAACCCCGUGCAUUAGCAUCAAGCCCUUGAGAGCAACUACCCAGCUAUGAGUCUUCUGAAUUCUCACAGCAAUGGCUAAUACCAGAGGCUUGAGGUAUGCAGGUGAGACCCGAACCCAUGCAAAGACUCUCUGAGCAUUCCGGUAAUCAACCCGGGAGUCAUUGUGGCUCGUGGAUUUAAUGACCGCGACAUCGAUGUCAGGGUUCCUCUGUGAUGUUCUCUUUGAGAAAGAUGUUAACCAGAUACUGGUCUGAUCUUUCAGCACUCCAGAAGCUCUUUUCCAGAGGUUCAUAGUCUGUCUUGUAGAGAAGAUCAGAGCUGAUGUUUGUGUAUGUUUGUUCCUUUACUAGUUCAACCAAAAAUCAAUUGGCUUACAAGUCACUCAUAUUUGUAAAUUUGGGCCACAGCCAACUACCAAGCCGGCCAGGGGUGUUUUUGCAUUUAGUCAAUGUUGAGUUUGAUAUGUGUUGCUGUCCUCGAUAUUUUCCAGGUUAUAUGAUAUUAAAAUAAAUGCAUGCCUAUGAUACCUUUUUCAAGAAAAUCUGUUUAAACGUGUUAUUCCAUUGAGAAAUGACCUGGGUUCUUAAGAGAAAAGGCUCCGUGUAUCAAUUUUUUUCAAGUGAUGUCCAAAAUAUUAUAAUUGUGGAAAGUGGUCUGAAAUAUUAUUUAUUAAACGUCAGAUAAUCCAGGUUUUGUUUUUUUAGAGAAAAACACUAUAUCUUGUUGCGUUUAAGUCCAAAAAUUACUGUAAUAACAUAACACCAUUUAGUGUUUUACUAGAAAUAGGCAUGAAAUAGAGUUUAAAACUUCAAAACGCUACAAAAUCCACCAUUCUGGAUUGCAAACUGAAAUUUAGGGUCAUUUUUUCUAUAGUGAUAGUUAGGACAUUAUUGCUAAAAAAGGUGAUAGAUUGGACAAUACCGUGUUCUUGAUGGUCAAACCUUUCACAUACUGGGCGUUUUGAUUUCCACACUUUACAGCAACAAAAAAAAUAAAAAAAAAUCACCUGAGUAGAGACUAAACCAGGCAGUCAGCAUGUGAGGACUUCUUAUUUAUCCAUAUGGCUCCUCUUGUAACUGGAUUAACAAAAGAUUCUCAUUGUGUCCAUACAAAUACAUGAAGACAAUGUAGAAACCCUUAAAAACUGUCAGCAAUAAGCCAAUAACUCAGUAAGGACGCGUAUGAAAGAAUAAGUUCCAUUUCCCAUAUGAAAGAAUAAGCAACUGUAUAUUACACUCUGCGGCAAGCUGGUCCCAAAGACCUCUCUUCAGGUUUCACAUUUCCAGCUUUAAACCAAUUAUGGUAAUUUUCAAAUUUAUAUAACGAGGAAUUGAGGGCCAAAAAAUUAUAGGGCACAGCUCGCGACCAACAAAAGAGAAUCAAUACAAAGCAUCAAUGCAUCAUCCGUAUACACAACCUCCCCCUCUCCUAAAGAUCUGAGGGUUUCUAAUCCAUCACUAUACCACUAAAAUUGGUAUUUGACCGUAUUCAUAUUGAACGUAAACAACAUGGUACUAGAAAAGGAUAAGCACCAACCGGACCAAAACCAGAUAGAUAGUUCAAACCACAGAAAAGAAUGUAGGACCUUCCAAGUUCCUGCAUCCCUCUCAUAUUUAGAAAUAAGACACAUGAAGACCCCAGUUCUCAUCCGUAAAAGGUACAUGUUGACACUUAUACCCAAUGACACUUCCCCAGUCUCCUGGGACUGGAACCAUGACAAAGCUUCACCCAAGCUUGACAGGAAUUUCUUUACCACACCAAAUCUGUAUAAAUGUGAAGUCGAUCAAAAAAGAAGAGAAACUCUGUAUAUUGAGUAACAUAAUCCUUUCUGUUAUCUUCAUUUAAGGAGGUACAGUUCCUUGUGCUUUCUCCAACUUUUCUUUCUCUAUCUCAACUCUUCUCUGCUCAGCAUGCUGAAAAACAGCAUUGGCUAGUGCUUGAUAAUGGAUGUCAAGAGCUUGUGUAAGACUCUGGAACCUCACUUCAUUAGAAGCUUGCAAAACUAGAAGCAAGGAGUUGGAACGAGAAUAUAAUAAUGUAAGUUCCAUGAUCACAUACAACUAAACAAUGCAAGUACAAUAUUCAAGUUAUUAAGUUUUAAAAUGCCAAUGUCGGAUGAAGUAUAUACCUUUUGUAGAGUCAACAAAGAACACAAAAGGGUCGACUUCAUCUAUUGGUGAGUGUAGAUCCUCAUCAUCACUGAAGUCAUCAUCUGUAUCAUCAUCUUCAUCAUUUGAACGGAAAGCCCUUGCCUGCAUCUCAUAUGUUAGCUUAUAAACAAAUAAUGCUUACAUUUCUUAAACAACUGACUUUGGUUCUGCGUCCGAAUUUGUUAUCAAUGGGUCAUAUCUCAAUAUUUAUAAAGGUAUGAGCUCAAAGACACAUCUACAGUUCAAAGUAUUUGGAGUUUUUUUUUUUUUUUUGGCUACAUACAAUUGAAUAUAAGAUACGAAACAAAGAACAAAUAACAAGUCUAGCCAUCAGGAACUGUGUUGAGAAUAUUUCAAAGUUAUUUGAAUAUUUUAUUAGCUGCAACUUCUUAGAAAUAGCUAGAUGAUGCACUUGCUGAAUUUUAGGAGUUCUAAUUCUUUUUUUUUUUAUGUAUAAAGCAAAGGUUUGGUUUCUUGGAAUAUACGUAGUCAUCAUCUAUAUAUUAUUUCUCCAACUGCUUUCUUAAGUUUUUCUCUUGUUUUCAAACCCUCAACACCAAUAAGCUGAUGAAAAAAUAUGAAGAUAAUUCUUAAUUUUUGAGCAACUGAUAACUUUAUUUUCCAAAUAAAAGAUAUAUAAAUAUCAUGUUUUUUAGUGUACACGAAGUAUAUGGAAGAGGACAACACAAUAAUAUUGCAGUUGCUUUUAUCAUGUUGAUUGUAACACACCUGUGCUGCCAAUCUUUGAAGAGUUUUGUUAUUAGCUUCAUCUCCAUCCUCAGCAUCUACUCCCAUUUCUUUGUCAGAAUCAUCCACAUCAUCUUCCUCAUCAGACAGCAAACCAUUCAUAUCAUCAUCAUCCUCGGUCUCUAAUUCCUUUGCAGCUUCUAUGCACAUCAAGUAAGAACAGAAUAUAGUGUGGAAUAAUUGAAACUUGAUCAUUCCGUAGGAAGUUGCAUAUACGUUCACUCUAAAGUGAAAUAAAGCUGAGAAAGGAAGAAAGAAAGUAUUUAUGGACAUACCCGCUACUUGAUCUUCGUAGGCAACAAGUAGAUCAAGGGUGGCCUUGAAAACACGCAGCAUUGCCUCCGCUGGUAACUGUUCGGCAGGAAGUUGGAGCAGUGCUGUUAAGCCCAAGCAGCAAACCUUUUUAUCAUGUUCUCUGAAAUAUGCAUAUCAUACAUGUCAUAUGAAACAAUCUAAUGAAAGAGGUAACAAAAAAAGGAACUAUCGAAGUGUUCAAAGGUAAACCAUGGGAGAUACUUAAGUACCUCUUAAAAUUAGAUCGCACUCCACUCUUUUUAGUCUGUUGCAACAUCUGGAACCAAUGAUUAAAUAUUUCUGUAGCAACCCCAAGUUUUUGCAGUAUGUUGAGUGUUAAAGGUGCAUUGUAGUAAAGGGCAUUGGCAAUCUGCAACAGAGCAGGUGCUAUCGAUCAACAUAUGUUCUGUUACACACAAGAAUUGUGUCUAAUGUAUAACAAUUUUAUGUCAUGUGUAGGCAAAUACUCCGUAUGAGCUAUCACAGAGGCAUAGUUAUUGUCAAGCAAGGUACCUAAAAAGAUGCUUUAAUAUCAAACAAUGUUUGCAUGCAUGUUCAGACACCACACUACAGAUGACAUGGUAAAGAAAUGCACAAAUAUCUUCACACUAGAAAAAACAAGAGAAGCAUAAAGUUUUUCUAUCAUGCUGAAGUAGUUACAGGCCUAAUCUGGUUUUGCAUAGGAUUGAAAAAAAUUGCGAGUUCCUUACCACUUGCAUCAAAAGACAUUUCAAAUAUGCUCUCUCAGUUCGACGCAACCGCUCAACUGUGAUUCUAAUAUAAGGUUCAACCCAAUGAUCCACCUGCCCCCUGCAGUUUUGGAACACCACUUCAAUAAGCUUAGGUGCCGGCUCAAUAUCACUGUCCUCCAUAUUCUGAUCACCCAUGAUCUGCACGAUAACAAGAUAUUAAUAUUACAAAAACAAUCACUAAGAAGAAAAUUUACAAAAUUAAUAUUCGUAGCAAUAGUCAACUCACGGUAGAAAUCAAAUUCCAAAGACUUUGCUGGUAAUCUGGCUCCUUGCAUGUAAGGUAAUGCAUUGUACCCCUCGAUAUAAAGUUGUCUAGAGGAACAAGAAUAUCUACACAAAUAAAAUUUAUAAAAACACAGCAUUAGAAAGUGUACAUUGUGGAUUAGCUGAUGGAAAGAAAAAUGUAUGCUGUGGGCGUACUGUAAAUUACAACAUAUUGAGUUGCAUUCACAAGUCAUAUGUUCAUCUUCGUUAUCCUGAACGAUGGGAAACCAUAAAUUCCUGUCCAAAUGUACAAUUCUAAUUUUUUUUGAUAAUUACAUAUAUAUUCUAACUCUUAAAUAUGUAUUUAUCUGGAAUAGGAAUUAAGAUUCUCAUCCCAUCAGACCACUUUAAACUGAAAAUUUGAAAAAGUAUCACAUCUGUAGAUAGUUCAAGUAUAGUCCUGACAAUAUAAUUAUUAAUAAUUAAUGAACUUGCAAAUGAAGAUUAGCUACAUUUGUACAUUGAAUUUGUGAACCAUGCAUUUAUUUCUUAGAAUAGCUUCUCUGAUAAAAAAUUCAAACAUAUUUCUCAGCUAAGUGCAUAAAGAGGUAUGUGGGAGGCUAAAGAGUACCCUAUUAAUCGUAGACCGAAGACCGAAUUAAGAUGACUCAUUAUGGCCGGACUCCCUCUUAUAGUAGCUAUAUAAAGAUGUAUAAUAUUGAUGACAAAAAAAACUACCAAGUUCAAAGAUAUAUAGAUUCAAUUGGUCAAGAAGCGCGUGGCAACACAAACAGAUUUGAACCUCUCGUAAUCCUAAGUGAUUAAAAGGCACAAGUCUAGUAUAUAGUUUUAAUAUGUUAGCGAGAUUGCUCUGUAAAAUAUGAAUAUAAUAGUUAUCACAUUUGAUUUUCUCCUACAGUCUAACCCUAAUCUACCAUGCACCCCUAAGAAAUCAUGUCCCUCUAGUAAGAUCUCUAUUUAAGUUCCAACAUCUGCUAGAACCUGAAUUCAACCUGAGGCCGUAAAUGUUAAUGCAACUCGUGAAUUAAAGAACAAAAUAGCAAUUCCUAAUCAAAGAGAUCCAAGAGAGUCUACCAAGAACCACUAAUUACAUUUUGAGGAAGAAAAACAUAAAAUCCCUAAAAAAGGCAUAGAAAGGGAGGAUAGGCACUUUCAUAUACUUACUUGAAAAAAAAUCAAUAGCCCAGUCAGAUAGAGCGUCGGUCAGCAAUGGCCAGAGGGUCCACAUGUCCAUAGAUAUAGUUGGCGAGUAGAAAGUCAUAUAUGAUACAAUUUCAAGAACUUCCUCAAAGACCUCUGCACAUACGUGUUGAUUACGUGAGUAUUCAUGAAUUUCAUUUUGUCCACUUGUGCAAGGAAGUUGAUAUUUAACCAAAGAAACAAAAUAAACGAAACAGAUGUUAAAAUCAGACAUUUAGCAGACUGCUGAAAUGUAACUAUUGCUCAAGAAAAUAGUAGCUUCAGAAAGAAGCAUUAAAUUUUAAAAUUAUUUUAGGCAAUAAUACUUCUAGACAAGUUUAUUUUAUAGGGGCAUGCCCUGUAUACUAUCUUGUUACGUGUUCUAUUACAAAAUAAUGUACAUAUUAUAUAUAUAUAUAUAUAUGAGGAAAGUUCUAUGGAGACCGCUAUUUUAUUGGAGACCUCGGAGACCACGUAUGUUCUGCAAUCAAAACACUGUAAAAUACAUUAUUUUGUAAAAUAUGUUUUACAAAAAUCAUUUAUUCAUUAAAAUUGUUGAAGAUCAUCAAUGUUUAAUAAGUAGAUAAUGUAUGUUCUGCAAGUUAAACAAAUGUUCUGCAAAUUAAACAUAUUUCAUAGAACAAAACAUUUUGUAAUGUUCUACAUGUAAAACUUAUAUGAUAUUCAAGAUUUUAAAUGUAAUAAUGAUUUUGGAGAACAUGAUUUGUAAAAUUAUACGUUUUGCGAUGUUUUUAUGAAAUAUUUUACUUGCAGAACAUAUGUGGUCUCCAAGUCUCCAGAAAAAAUGUGGUCUCCAUUGAACUUAACUCUAUAUAUAUAUAGGGCAUUGCUCAUAAAAGAACACUCUUAAAAGAAGAACAACACAGAACACUUUAGAAUCAAAUAUAGAAUCUCAUCUAAAACUUAAUUCUUUUUUCAAAUUUUAGGUUGAUUAACUUUUUAUUAUAAAUAAUAAUAGAAUCCGUCAUGCUUAACAAUAAAUUUGGGUUAAAAAUACCAUGAUUCUAUGUAAAAUUAUUCGUGCAAAAAAUUAUAUAUAUGAUUCUAUUCUAGAUUCUAUUUUGGAUUGUGUUCUAGAUAUAUGUCAUAGUAAUAAUGUGGAUGAAUUUGGAUUUUAGAUUUCAUAUAUUAUGUUUGAUUGGUGUUUAACUAUAUAAUUAUAACCUUAACAAAUCAUUCUUUGUGAAAAAUAAAGUGUUAUGAUAGUGUUCUGUGUUGUUCUUUUUUAUCCUUCAAAAUCAGAUAAAAUAGAAUCUAAUAGUUUCAAUAUUUUUUUUGUUCUACAAUAUUUUUAAACAAUCUGCAACUUGAAGAUAUGUUCUAUAACCUAAUCAACAAAUAUAACAAUUACUUUUACAAAAAGCAGGAUACUAUUUUCAACAAUAUAAAUAUAACUAAUGAGCAGAAUAAUAAAUUUAAUGAUUACUAAAGUUCAAGGAUGUAAUGAUUAAUUGGAUUUUCUAGUGUACGCCCAUGACAACCACUUUCUAGUUAGGUGGUGGAUUUCUAUUGGCUCCAAUUUCAUUAAUAAUGAUGGCCCCUCUGUGUGCACAAAAUCUUCACCGAUCAAAAUUUUCCACCUAACUAAAAAGUAGUUACCACACACUAGAAAGACCUAUGAUUAAUUGAUACCGAUGUUUAAGAUUACUUAUAAAUGAUCAAUUAUAUAUAAACUUCGGUAAUCAAGGGUGAUAUUUAUAAUUAAAUUAAAAAAUUUAUGACUGGUACACUAAAAACUCCAACUUAAAUGCUGACUCCAUAGAACCACUCUCUAUGUCUCUCUCACUCUCCCUAUAUAUAAGAUCUUACUCCAAUACAAACUUCCUUAAAAUACAAAUUACGAACGGGAUAAUCGAACUAAUUACAGAGAAAAUUAAGUGUGAUCUUGUGUGAGAGGGUUAAUUUUAAUUGUGUGUGACUGUGUGGUAUAAAAGAAAAUUUAUAUGAAGUCAAUAAAUAAGGUGGACUUUCAGAGUCCUAUCCUUCUAAAUUGGAUAAAAUAUUAUCUAAUGAUUUCAAUUUUAAUUAUUUUUUGUUCUACAGUAUUUUUAAACAUUCGACAACAUAUCAAUAUGUUCUACAAUGUAAUCAACAAGUAUAACGAUUACUUAUAAAUGAUAAAUCAUACAUAAAUUUUGGUAAUCAAAGAUAUUAGUUAUGAUUAAAUAAAAAAAUCAUGACUAGUACUCCAAAACUCCAGCUUAUAUGUGGACUCCAUGGAACCAAUAUACAUACAUACAUAUACAUACAUAUAUAAACUCAUUGGGUGAGACUCAAAUGAGAAUUAGUUCCCCAGAGAACUAGUAGGUUUCAUACCUCACAUUUACGUGUCUAAUAAAUAUUUUUAAUCUAUAUUUUUAUUCAAUUACAUAAGCCGUUCUCAUAAUUACCUUUUUGUUUGCAUAACAUAUCAAAACUUGAUUAAUACUGUCAUGAAAUUCAUAGAACAUGAAUCAACAAUAUUUUUUUUUUAAUUCUACAAUCUAUGAACAAAGAUAUUGCAGGCACAUAGUUUAUGCCCUGUGUGGUCGCGCACCCCGUGCUACCCAGCCCCGCCACUGUUAAUGUGUGCAUAUUAAUACAGGUCACCAACUACAUUUGCUUCAAGUAAGAUGAAAUGGUUUGUUAGUGCAGCUGACUUGGAACAUAAAGGGCCAGUAAACAUAUCCAAAACAUACCAGAAAACCUUGCAGAUUUACUAUAGAAGACAAAGUAAUACUUGUAGGAGAUUUUUGAAUAUGAAACUAGAGACUAAAGCAGUACCUUGUCCAUCAGUAGUCAGCAUCCUCCGCAUGAUUGGAAGUAAUGUUGGUUCAAUCUGAACAAACAGCUGAGGAAGCCUGCUCACGGACUCAAGGAUUGUGCUUAUGGCCCGCAAGCAUCCAACUGCUGCCAAAGCACCUGGAUCAUCAGCUUCAUCAUCAGCCUCAGCAGUGUGCAUACACUUCCAAAAUGCAGCAGCCUAGUAAAAAAUAAAGUUAAUAUCUUCAGAGGACAAGUUAUAUCACUAAGCAGUAAAAUAAAAGACAAGAUAUUUGAGUCACCAGAUUCUGACACAGUCCAAGAGCAUAGGGUGCCAUCUCCUCCCCAAAUUUGUCCACGAUAGUCUCCAGCGUAAACACAAGAUCCUCAUUUUCAACCUCAUUCAUAAGUUUGAAAAAUUCUGAAAGUUAUUGUAUGACAAAGUUAGAAGUAUCCAUUAGAAGUGCAUUUAGUUGUUUUAAGUUUUAUAUACCGUCUAGUAACUGUGGAAGAAUCGGUCGGAUUUCAUCCAAAUCUGCAAAAUCGAAUUGGAAGUAUUAAACAACAAAAUAUUUUAGGGGAGACAAAGAUGAGAGAAAAACAUGUACUUUACCCUUGCAGGCUUCAACAAAUGAACGUAAAGCAAAAACAGAGUCAACACGAACUGGAAGCUCUGGGUCUCGCAUCCCAGCCACAACACUUUGCAAUGCUCUACGAAAAAUGUUUGUGUCUGAGAAUUUGAUAUGUGCAUAUUGUCCAGCAACCCAGGCUGCCUGAUUUAGAUCAUAUGACAAAUUGACGAUGAUAAGAAACUGAUGGUCAAGACCCUUGCACACGUCUAUUACAAUUUUGGUGAGCAUGAUUUUUUUCAGAUCCAUGCAAUCCAGUUCAAGCACGUGAGAACCAAUAUUAAUGUCCUGCCGUCUAACUUUCAUUAAUUUUGUAUUAUGACAUCAACAAAUUUUGCAGGGCAAAGUAACUCGCCCAUAAAAACUACAGAAUAAAAAUUCUCUAAUAUUUAAAGCAAUACGUUAUAACUGAAUUCUUGAAUAUCAAACUGUACACAUCACACUAUUUUCAAUCAACUAACUACAUAUUUAUAUAUCUGGCAAUACAUAAUAUGUAAUACAAAUCAUGAACACCAUAAUUUCAGAAUUUUAUACCCAGCUACCAGAGGUGUUGAUAUAUUAUAAAGAUCAAAGGAAGACAUACUUUCUUUCUUAAAUGGAAGGGAAAACAAGACACAAAUGUAAGAUAUAGUUGCAAGCAAACUUCCAAAAUACAACAGACAGAUUGAAAACAAUGUAAGAAACAUGACAGAUUACUCAUUAAUAGCCAAAAAAACAAAUGCAAGUAAAAACCUUGGCUCUAAGAUGGCCCACAGGACUGUUGAAUUCAGGGAAAACAUGUUGCAAUAACAUGCGUUCAAGCUCAGACUUGUAAGGUUCUGUUUGCUUCAGUUUAUCACACAGCGCUCCAAUUGCAAGCAGAGCACCAUCUUUCUGUCUGUAGGGCUUAUUUUCUAUUGCUGCCUCAUCAUAUCUGUAUACUAAUAUAUGUUAACAGUGGUGAAUUUUUAUUAAAUUCUAUUUGCUACGUAUGCAACCACAACUACCUUCUAAAAAUUUCCACAAUGUACAGUACAAACUUCUGAAGGUUCUCUUUCCCGCGCUUUCUUACCAACUCACUUACGAAAUCCAUAGCAGCAGUUCUUGGGCUGUAUAAAUCCUCUAUGAUGUCUGCACAGCAAGAAAGAAGAUGAAGUAAAACAAUCCAGGAUAAAAACAAGCAACUUAUGCAUUAAUUCAUACUAUUAUAGAGUAGGGUAAUUUAAACCUAGAGAAACGGUCUAAAUCCUACUACCAUUGGAGUAAAUAACAAUUUAUGUGUAAUAUCAUCAGAAAUAUGAGAGAUCCAAAUAACUUACCGUAACCCUUCCUCACAUAUUCAUGUGGGUCUUCAUCCCAAAGUUUUUGGUCAUCGUCAUUAAAGCACAUAAGUGGAAAGAUUAUCUCAAAAAGUAGAGAAUCCAUUCUUGGUUGAAGCAGAUUGUACAUGUUGGUCUUGGAAACACUGGAUCAGUAUAACAAGCAUAUAUAAGAACCAUAAAAGGAUAGGGGAAACAGGCCAAAAGUCAACAAGUAACAAAUAUUACCAGAACAGAUUUUUAACUUUCUGGAAAAUCAGUCAAUUUCAUCAACCAACCACAAAUUCAUCAACCAACCACAAUUUCAAACCAACCACAACAUUCUGAUUAGAAUAUUACUGUCAUCUAUGCACUAUAUUAUUUGCAGUACAAAUUUAUAAACUAGUCAUCUAUGCACUAUAUUAUUUGCAGUACAAGUUUAUAAACUAGUACCCAGGAACUUUCAUGAGCCCGUAAACCAAGUAUUGCAUAAACCAAUCCCAAAGUAGGAUAUGGCGAUAUAUAUAAUUGACAAUUGGUUCAUUUUCUGUCAGGAAGAAUACAGAUUCCGAACAUAUAAAAGAUCAUGAAAAUAUGCAUGCUUGAAUAUAUCAAAUGCUUAACACAUAAGGACAAAAAAAUGAAACAUGACUCCUUUUACAUAUGCACCAUAAUCUUUGCGGUACAAAUUUAUAAACUGGGACCUAGUAGAUUCCACUUGAGCACUUGAACUAAGUAUUAUACCUGAUAUUCCUAUAGGAAACGAAGAUAGAUAUAAACUGACAAUAGGUUACUUUUCAGUCAGGAAUAAACCGAAAGAAUACAGAUUUAGAACACAUAAAAGAAGAUUAAAAUAGACAUGCUUAAAUAAAUGAAAUUUUCAGCACAUAGAACAGAAGAUAACAGUUUUUCAGUGCACAGCCUAUCAUAAUCCAGUAAUAAGUAUAUAAUUGAAAUAAAACUUUACUAAAUCAAAGAUCACAUCUAAAGAUUCCAUCAUAUUUAUAAAGCUUUAGCAUAAAAUAUUAUGAAGUCGUCACUACAUGUCAACAACACUACAAACACCUCCGUUAUCCCAAAAAUAAUGAUGACUACAUGAAUAGUAGCUGUAAGACAAUUCUUUAGCUAAUACAUUAAGUUUUAGAAAGACUUGAGACUAACAAAACCAUGUAGACAACCUGUUGGUUAAAUAUUGCAAGAUAAGAUUGGUAACUCUGUCUGGCAGAUAACCACCAACCCUGAUCACAUUCAACAAAUUUAAAUGACAUUCCAAAAUCUUUCCAGCAAAACCCUUCUGGAACAUUUGGGCAAAAGCUCUAUUUUCUGGGUUUUGAAGUUUCAGAUCACCGAACCUGUGAAAAAUAAAAUUUGAUAAAAUCAGAUACAUGUUUAGGGAAUUAAAUACAUGUUUCAUAAGCAUAGAAGAUGAUUGAAAAUAAUCUGAAUAAGGCAAUUACCGAGUGUAUAGGCGGUUUAAUAUGUGAACUGUCCACUUUUUAACCUUCCACCAACCCCAUGAUUUCCUGAGCUCUGGAUCAGCUGGUUGUCCUUCAAGAGGUAUAGGUCUCUCCAAUAUGUUUAGGAAAAGAACCAUCCAAGCAUUGAACACAUUCGGAUCAAAUAACUGCUUUGGAAUCUCCAACUGACAUAAUUUUGAUACCAAGCUUUAGAAUUAAAAAGAUUCAAGGACUCCCAAGCCAAAAACCCAGAAACUCGUCCUAGUAAUUAAAUCCAAGGAUAAUUAAGAAGUAAAAUGAAUCCUAAUGGACGGUAAAAACUAAAAAGAAGCUAAUAUUAGUAUUAUAAGUAGAUAUAUAAAGUUGCUUACAAAAGUACCUAACAAAAAAGUAUUAUCUGUCCAGGAAAAUGAUUCUAAUUGUACCAAAAAGAACACAAAAAAUGCAAACAUUUGACAACAAAUAAAGUUUCUAGUUCCUCCCUUUUUGGAUUUCUCCUAACAAAAAACAUCAUAGUUUCCAUGCUACUUGAUUAAGGGCAUAACUUCAAAACUAGAAAUAACAAAAAGCCUCCUGCGAGUUGUUGAAGUUGCAAGUUGCAACACAAUUACAUACAUAUAUAGAUGACCAGAAUAUCUUGCAGAUGAGCUUAAUCAAGUCAGCUACUUCUAUUGAAGCAUUGUCAAUUUGAACCAGCCUGUUAAAUAUACUCAACAAAUGAGGAAAUGUCUCCUGAACAAUGUGAUGAACUGGUGUCCGCUCCUCAUCUGACUUAAACCUACAUAUAACAUAUUACGAGAACACAGAUGUUAGAGAAUAAUGCAUAUGAGAGCUUCUAACCAUAUUCUUGAAAUACAUAAACAAUAAAGUAAUGAUGUUAUUUACAACACAACAUCCAUAUGCACCAAUCAACUCACUCAUAUUUCCUAGAAAGGAUUCUCAGCACAAACAAUGCUCCAUAAACUUGUUGAUCUUGUAAAUUAUGUUUCACCCAGUGUAAAAGACUUGGCCAUUGCUCUGGGUAAUCAGCAUGUAUAAUCGUCUUGAGACACUCCCCAAGCUGGGCCCUAUCAGAGAACAGGGAAAAUUAUAGUAGAUGCAUCUUUACAUAACCCAGGAAAAGCUUUAUCAUAAAAAUUAAAAUAAGAAAUGGAAUGAAGACAUCACUGGUAACUCAAACAACUCACCUCAACAAUGGGGACACCUGGACAAUAAACACAAGAAUAUUUUGGCGAACCAAAUCUUUAUCACUAGGUAGGAUCUUUGAUUGCUCAUCUAUGCAACACAACAUUGUAUAAUAAGCACCAUGGAUUAUAAAUUAAAGUCCAUGAACACCCAAAUUUCAGUUCUGGAAUUGGGCAGUACCAGGAUCAUGAGGCGACCAGUUUUUGGCGAUAAAGUUUUUGAAAUGUAUACUUGCAACUUGUCGUACUGCCGGGUCGCAAUUCCCAUCUACAAUGAUCUGCAACAUCCUCACCAAAUGCUGAGGUGUAUACUGAAUCUGCAAUUACAUAAUCAAACCCACAUUAAACAACCAAUACGCAAUCAAUUAUCAACUAUAUCAACAACCAAGAUGCAAUAAUGAUUCGACAAAAAUGGGAACAGCUCAGUUCCACAAUUGUAACCACUUCAACAACCACUAAUUACAUUCCUUAAGCAAACAAAAGCUAGCACAAGAAUUCAAUAUAAACAAUACCCUGAUCAUAUAUUGCAUCACUUACCAAUACCCUGAUCAUAUAUUGCAUCAAAUUUCAAUCUUGAUCAUACAGUUUUAAUUUUGACCAAUCAAGAAAAUACAUACAUAAACACAUAUAUAGUAAUAAAAAGGACCUGAUUAAGACUUUGUUCAGCAGCUUUACGUUGAUCAGGAUUUGGACUAAGUGCAGCUUGAAGAACCACUGCAAGACUGUGAAGAUCCAUUUUUUUAGACAAUUUAUAUUUACAACAGCCACAUACACAUAUAUAAGCAGGAAAAUUUUUAUAAUGGGUUUUGAGUUUGAAGAUGUAUAAUCAAGAAGAAGGGUGCAAUCUUCAAUCUCUCUACAGGGUAGAGAGAGAGAGAGAGAGAGUGGACAAGUAGAGUGUUGUGUAUGUAUGUGUAAGUGUAUGUGAAUGUCUUGUUUGUACUUUGAAUCAUUAGGGUUUUUGGUUGUUUAACCACAAAACGGCUGUCAAUUCAAAGAGGAUGGGAUGUGACUUUCACGCGCUACUUUUUAUCUUUCCUAUUUUAUCUUCUUUGUAUUUUAAUACUCCCUCCGUCUCAAUUUAUAGGUCCAUUUUGGAAAAAAAAUUUGUCCCAAAACACUUGUCCCUCUCUUCUUUCAAUACAAAUCUAUCUACAUAUUAAUUGUGAUUUUUUUGAAACUCAACAUUAUUUUAAUUUCUAAAUGCACUAAAUCCCUAUAUUUAUUGUGAUUUUUUUGAAACUCAACUAUAUUCUCACUUAUCAAUGCACUAAUUAAUGAUACAUGAGAUAAGAUUCUAUCUAACCAACUUUUUUCUUAAUAUGCGUGUUUAUUCCAAAAUGGACCUAUAAAUUAAGAUGGAUGGAGUAGUUUUGGUAUAAAAAAGUUGAAUUUAAACGUGAUAUAGCCGUAUAGGAUAAAGUAGUAAAUCGAUGAGAGGAAUAUUUCAUCGCACGGGUGUUUUGUUCGUUCCCAUUUGUGGAAGUUUUAGCCCGGGGCAGAGGGAAUAGAUUUUUUAACUAUAAUAUGCCUUCAAUUUAAUAAACACUUGAACAUAUUUUAAUCAAAACAAACCGAUAUACUUCUUAUCAAUAUUCGAUGAGGAUUUGUUGUAUAGGACACUGUAUGCGAAUUCUGGUUUCAUUUAAUAAAAUGGAAAGUUAUGAAUUUGCAGUCCUGAAAUCAUUUAACGGAAAAUUGCAGUAUUUUUUAUUUUUUUAGCUGACCCGUUGGUGAUACUUUGAGAAACAAAAAAAGAGAGUACAUUGAAUGAUAAAUUCUAUGUACUUUUUUUUUUUUAACGUAGGAUCCGCAGCCGCUACCCUUCGGGUGCGCACUAGGUAAACCCACGAGUUCACGCAAUAGCCUGCAAACUACGUGAACCAAGGUAAACCGCACCUAAGCGCGACAGGCUCUGACCCAGGAGGCAUAAUCACAUAAUGAUGUUUUAAUUCCAUAAGCCAGAAGGUUUAACGGCAGGUCUCGCCAUAAUGAUGCUUUAAUUUUUCUUUUUUUCUUUUUACAAUUCAUCUUUUUUAGGCAAAUUAUCUCUAACUAGAUGCAGAACCCAAGAUUUUAAAAACUAUACUGUCGUGACAUUCUUAAAUUAACUAUGAAGCAACCAUUAGUAUUUAUUCUGAAUCCACUAGAAUUUAUUCUGAAUCAGUUUUAAGAGAACUUUCAUCCUUGUGCAUUUAUUUGGUAAUUAUAAUUGAGGGUACAAGGAAGAAACACCAGAGUAAUUAGCUAAAAGAUAAACAAAAAAAAACUAAAGUAUACCAUUUCUGGUAACCGACAUAUAAUUAAGGGUGAAGCUACAAUUAAAUAAAUAUUAUAGCGGUUAGACCCAUAGGAAGCUUUAUACAGAAGGUGGAUAAUAAGGUUUGUCGAUUAAUUUACGUAAGCUAACAGUUCUCAUCGACCCACUAAACUAGUGUAAGUUGCACGUGUGGUAACUAAUCAAUGUGAUUUUUGCUGAAAUUCAUGAUAAAACAUCAUUACACAACAUAAUCAGUUUCGUACAGUAGUUUGUUUUUACUGUAAGAAAGAAAACUCGUGAAACGAAACAAACAUUAAUCGGAGAGGUGGAAACCAUCAAACCAUUUGUUUCAUACACAGAAUAAUCUGGUCUUCUUUCCUUGGCUGUCAAUUUCUCUGAUUUCGAUGCAAUUUUGUUAUGCUUCUGUUAUAAAAUGCCUUCACUCGUUCAAGCACUAAAGAGUUACAGCCAAAACAUGAGUGUCACAAUUUGCCAGCAAUAACGUAUACAUUCAAUGGGGAGAAGCUAGAUUUUACUUGUAUGUCCUAGAGAUUGUUACAACAUUGUUGCAUAUGCUAUGCGUACAUUUUCCAAUCUGACUGCAGUAUCAAGCAGUUCACACUUUGUCAAAAUUCUCUACUACAGUAUGUCUCCAUCCUUUCGGACCUGAAUUUCAAAAAUAGAGAACAAAAUGAAGAAAAAAGAGUGAAAACAGGAACAGAAUUAGCUGGUUUUCUGGGACAAAAAGGAGUAAUACUUCCAUAGGGUGAAAUUAAGCUUUUUCACAAUUUUUUUUUUUUUUUGCUGCAUCCAGUGACCCUUGGAAUACAGCAGCNUGCUGCAUCCAGUGACCCUUGGAAUACAGCAGCAAAGAAACAAAAGAUUAAACAACACAUAACAGAGAUAGUUACUUACCUUACAAUGUUCCUUGUAAGUUGGUCUCAUACCCCACAGAUUAGAAGUCUUGUAGGUAGCAAUUUCAUUCAUAAAGAGAUAUAAAAAGGGCUACGGUCAUGCCCAGGAUUAAAGAGGUUAACUGAAUUGCUGUACUUCUCAACGAUGAGCUGCCGUUAUUCAUUUCUGCAAGCACCCCAGCAACAGCAAUAUAGAUAAACCCUCCUGCCGUGAAUCCCUACCACCAGGAAAAAAAAAGUAAACAUUAAGGAAUAGUGUAUAUCAACGGUAACUUCAUAUGAAAGUUUAUGAUUUUCUAAAAACAAUCAUAGCCAGCAAUCUCUAAUGUAUGGGCAAGCAACAGUGGAUAUGCAUACCUCGAUUAAAGAUGACUGUCCAGGAUCUUGUCCCCACAUCAAUGCCUGUGAAAACCACAUUGACCACAAUGUAUCCAUUUAGCUGGUUAUCGUAUCGUUUUUCAUUUUUUACUAUGCCCACUCCCCCACGUUUACAGACUUUCUUCAAUGUUACCAUCAUAAAGACAAACAAGAAAUGCAAAAACAAAAGAUACUUCAACCCUUAACAGAUAAAACGUACUUACCAAUGCAGUUCCAGCCAGUGCGGCCAGAGCAGAAAGGAAGUUGAAAGAUAGAGCUGCGGAGACACUAAAUCCAGACCUUACCAAUAUACCAAAAUCACCAAUCUACAGAAGAAGAGGAAAUCAAAGAGGUAACAAACCAAUCCAAAAGAAAUAACUUUAAGUUUUGUAUGUCAUAUUUAUAAAUCAUCCAAGUUUUAAUACAUAAGAUGAUAAUGACUGUGUAACAUGCUGUCGGCCUGUAUAAUACUUUUACCUACCGGUCUAAAUUGUACUCCCUCAGUCCCAUCCUAUUGUUAACAUUUGGGAGAGAGGGUUCAACACGCAUUUUAAGACUCCUAUAAAGUAUAGUUUCGGAAAUUAUUUUAUUUUUUUUCUUCAAAUAUAGAAGUUAAAUGUUUACAUUUCUAUUCAGAAAAAGAAAAUUUUAAAAAUAACUAUGUACCUAAAUCGAUUUACAAUAUAAUAUAAUGACCUAAAUUGAUUCACAAAUUGAAUUUUAAGAGAAAAAACUAUGUACUUAAAUUAGUAACUUAAUCCCAAUUUGUUAUUAGACAGGACAAAAGCUAACAUUACAUUAUGGUACGUUUGUCGUGCAUUCAUAUUUUAGAAGCAAAUUUGUCAUCAGUUUAUAUUUUUACAAUUAAGGUUGGUGUGAAUUUUUAGUGAGUCCUCAAAAACUAAUCUGCAGCACUUAAGCCACCUUAGUCUUCAAUCUGAUAGAAACUAGUCAAGUAAUGUAAUGAACUAAUGAUGCAGAGAGGAGAAGCCAAACCUCCUGAGGAAGCUCAUGAGCAAGCAAGAAUAGAGUUCUUGACCACCCACCUACAGAUCCAUAAAGAAGAAAUGCACUCCCCAAAGCCACCCCAUCAGUAAAAUUGUGCUGCAGUGUUAAAAAAUAUAAUUAGGCAAGUCAAAAUUGUCCAACUAAUACUUUGUACCUACAGUAUAUGGUUAACAUAUGGUAUGCUGUAAAUAUUAUUAGAUACUGGAAGUUGCUCAUAUUAUAUAUGUCAUGCUUCAGCAAUCCAUGGAAACUGCAAACAAAAUGAGUCGGUAGAAAAAAUUAUGUUGUUAACUGUUGCAGACUUGCCUAAAGAAAUGUGCACAAUGUUGUAGCUGUAAAUUUAUGACAGUGAGAAGGUAAAACUUCAAGAAAAAAGUUUACAUAGAACUGGAAAACUACAAAAUGUUAAAAUUAUGAAAGCAUUUUUUUAAAACGUGCAUAUAAUCUAAUAUAUAGUGUAUCAGUGAUAUACAUCAAAGGUUUUCAACUUUUCAAGAAGCUGCAAAAUGCAUCAAAUACAAAACAGAUUGUUAUGUGUGUGCAAGGCAUGGCUCUACUCUGCAGAGUACAGUACAAAAUGGAAAACCACAUAUGGAAAUUAGGAUGCUGUGCCGGUUAGAUACAUACAUAACAUAUCCAUAUUCUAUUAGAAAGAGAGACAUAAAAUUCAAAAGAACAUACCACACCAUCAGAGAAAAGGUUGAGAUAACCAAACACAAGAUUUGAGGGAGACUCGGCAAGUUUUUUGACAUCCAUGAGUUCUGCACUACUGCUAAUAUUCUUUACAUCAUCCAUGUUUGGUUGUUCUUCUGCACCACCGGUAGUGAUGUUUCUCUAGAAUAAAAUGAGUUUGUCAAAAUAAUAUAUCAAACCUAAUAAGAUUUAGGUGGCCGAUAACAAUGAGAUACAGAGAACAAGUAGAGUACAUUCGAGGAUAAAACAAUAAUCCCCCCCCCCCCCCCCCCCCCCCCCCCCNNCCCCCCCCCCCCCCGGCCCGCUCUCUAAUAUAUAACGAAACCAAUAAGAUUUAGGUGGGCAAUGAGAUACAGAAAGAAAGUAGAGUACUCAAUACACGCCGGGACCACUAGAGCCUCACCAAGGCUCCAGAUAGACCCUGGACAAGCUCCAGACAGCCCAAACUUGUCCCCACCCGGGGUCCACCCCCAAGGCCCACGCCCUUCUCAUCCUCCUUAAUUGCAUUGGUUUGUAUUUAAUUUUUUAUUUUGGUGAUACAUACAUACAUAUAUAUAUAUGCACACACACGCGAGAAAUUGCAUAUAUACAAAAAGAUACAUGCUUAUAAAGCGGCAGAACUACAGAACUUGUAUUUCAAGAGGGAAUUGUACUAUGUUCUCCAUCGGUUCAAUAAGAUAAGAAACUUUUUCAUGAGUAAACUCGCUUAUAGAUAUAUUUAAGCUCUUUUAUUACCUUUCUGAGAACGGCAAUUCCACUUUGUCGUUCUCCAUUUGCACAGUCAUCAGUGAUUUUGUCAAACUCUGUACCUUCUGAGGACCCCUUCGCUAGGUUUUCACCUUUUUUAGUGACAGAUGGAACCUGAAGAUCAUCGUCAGUAGCAUCUUUGUCAUCCUUCAACUUUUUGCUGCUCUUACGAUGAUGGUGAUGAUGGCCAUGACUGGGUGCAUUGGCUUCUCCACACACAUCAUCAACAUACCUCACUACCUUUUCUACCAGGAGAAACAGAACAAUACCAGCUGCAAAAGCCAAAAUUUGCAAAUUGUAGAAAGCAACGCUACUUGCGAAGAAGAUUCACAAAUGCCGAAUAAUGAACAAGAAAAAUAUAGCCAAGACACACAAUCACAACCUUGGGCCGCCUACAGUCUAAAUUAAUUUCCAGGCCUAUAACACGAUCAUCCAUAUCUUACUUCCUAAGAAAAUUCACAGAUGCAAUGAACAAGAAAAGUAUAGCUCAGACACGUAAAUACGUAAUCAUGACCUUGGGCCUACUGUAUAAAUUAAUUUCUAGGCCUAUAACAUGAUCAUGCACUUGUAGUGCAUGAAUGAUUAGUAACUGACGGCCAUCAAUCGGUAAGAUCAAGUACUAUCCAUCCGCAACACUGAAUUCAGCUAAGUAUAAUAAAAAGAUUAAACCGAGAAACAGGAAAUUAAGGUAACAAUCUUAUUAGUUUCAGUAAAUCCAUGAUAACCCUAUGCUUGAUUCUAUAGAUGUCAUAAAUCAUAAUAUAAUCUUCUUUAAAAAAAUCCUAGAUAAUACACACAUAAGAUGACAUGUGUACAGGUCACCUGAUGUGGUUAACAAAGAGAGCACUGGAAUGUCCUACUUGCCAACAAAGAGCGUUUAAAAGAAUAUACCCAGUAUGGACAGCCCGACAGAUAGAUCUUGUAUAGAAUGUGAAUGUGAAUGUGAAUGUCCAUUUUCUGAAUGAACAUGAUGGCCAUGGUCCAUUUGAUGAUCAUGUGAAUGAGUGUGAUCUCCACCUGAAAAAAAAAUUGCUUGAAAAUUUAGGACAAUAGUCAUCUCACAGAUUAACUUCAAUUUAAAGAUAUACUACCUCAUACAGACCUUGGAAAGACUGGCACCUAAUUUAAUUCUACAUUUGAUAUAGCAGGAUGCCUUUUUUAAUCAUUACAAUGAAAGAAUAACAGUGAUUUGCUAAAUGGAUCGCCUAAUUUUGUUACAACUUAAAAUUUCAAUUUAGAAUUCACCUCACGAACACAAUUCUUAGCAAACAAAAAGGUUUUCCUAGAUCUUUUGACACCUUAAAGUGCUUUUGACUCUAUAUAUAUUAUUUCUAAUAUUUAUCAUGUAAAUGAUACAAGAUAAAUAAUAUUCUUUUUAUUAUAAAAUUAAAAAAUAUAUAAUCUUUAAUUAGUUGAAAAGUAAAAAAAAUAAAACCAUUAUCAAUAACAUAUAUUAAUACUAAAAAAUACUUACAAAUAGAUAAUUAAAAUAUAUAUUAUUUCUACUACCCAUUACAAUAUUUAAAUAAAUUGUACUCCCUCCGUCCCACCAGGUUCUUUACAGUUACCUCUUUUGGACGUCCCAUCCAUUUCUUUACAUUACAAAACUUUCCCAAAAUAGUUAAUGGGUCCCACCACUUUAUCACUUUUCCUUCCUUUUCACACUACUUUUACUCCACUAUCUCUCUUUUAUAUAUUAAAAAUCGAUGGGUCCCACCACUUCACCCACUUUUCUUCCUCUUUUUCACUACUUUAUACAUAUUUCUUAACCUCCGUGCCCAAACCCAAUGUAAACAAUUGGGUGGGACGGAGGGAGUAAAAGCUAAAUCUCUAAAAAAAUAUAAUCAAUUUGUCAAUAAUUUACACUAGUUCUCCCCACUAGGCCCUAGUAAUUGAGAAGUACAAGUAAUGUUAUCAGAUAUGUAAAGUUAUUUUUAAAUAGGCAACUGCAUAUAUAAAAUAUAUAAUUGAUAUAUAAAAGAAAUAAGGCCAGUCUCUAUAACUCCUAGGUAGGGAGGAUGGGGGGACUUUUAGCAUACCAAAUGCAUGAGGUAGCUGAUGAAGAAAAGCAUCCCCUAGCAUAGCACCUGCCUGCAAUACGAAAAGAGAGAAGAUAUCUACUUAAUAUAGAAACUAAAUAUGCUAAAUAGAAAAGUUAAUUGUAAACCUUUCAGUCACUAUUAAUUAAAAAAGAAAAUUGAAGGUGCGUUUUUACAGUAACAAAAACAGCUUAACAAUUACUAAUCAAAAACCGCAAUAUCAUCAGAAGAAACUAACUGCUUCAAGAAUAUUCUAUACGGUGAACAUGUGUUCAUAACUUCAUAUAAAUGUAAUAGCGCCCAGGAUGCCUUGAAGGAUAUAUUAGACGUAGCACAAUAGGUAGUGGAUCCAAAUAACAGUCACAGAAAAGAUAAUUAAGAAGUUCUCAUAUAGGUCAAACUGCACAUGCCAAAAACAUUAUGAUGUUUUGCAGCUAAUGUAUCUGUUUGCUUUGUGUGCAAUCUCGAUGGUAUAUGCUCAAUAAUUUACAUCAUUAUUCGUGAGCCUGAGAGUAUUUUUCAAUGCACUUUGUUUUCUUUUCAAAAGAGUCUGCUAUACAGGCACAGUCCCCAAUUAUGUACAAUUCCCUCUAAAGUUUUUCUAAUAAGUAAUACAUAUAGAUUAACAAAGAUGGUCCCAGCCCUCUAGAAAGAAUACACAUCCAUUACCCCUCUCGAAUAAAGAGGAGAGUUUGAGAUUGUCGCUAAAUUUAAUCAAGAUAACCAAGUAAGCUAGUCCAGUGCCAUAAGUUGAUGCACAAAAUACUCACAAUGCUCAUGUCAAUGCAUAGUACAGUUGCAAAAAUAAACCCAACACAUCUAUGAAAAAGUACACCAAGGGUAAAAGUUACCAGAGUGAUGAGGGAAAAUAAUACACCAAGAACAAUGAACAUUACUUUAUAACUUAGAUAAUGCACUGAAGUGGUUCUAAGCAUAAUAUAAUCCUUUUAUUCUUGUUUUGGACAAAUAUGUGGCUCACACGACGGAAAGAAAUAACUAUCAUCGAUAAGUCAUGGCUGACAUCCCACAUAUUACAGAAAAUGUUACAAACUAUAAGUUGAAUGUAUCAAUUUACGCUUUUUUAAAAGCAUAAAGUCUCACAAGUGCAAAAUAUAUAUAAUCUAAAUUAGUGCAAAAGAGUCAUGAAGGAGCACAGAAUCUAACCCCAAAUACAGCCAAUGCAUCAACAAUUGUCUUUGAAGGCUUUCCUUGUACUGCAAUAAAUCACAGUUCAGUUUUUUUCUGUAGGCGAAGGCAUAUGAAAUGACAAGCAAAAAAAAAGAAUUCAGCAAGCCAGCUGCUAAAAUUUAGAAGAAAAAAGAACCUGCACCUAACGCAUCUAGCAACUUACCAAAGAUUAAUGGCAAUAUAAUCAGGCAUAUAAGCGAAGCCAAGCUGACCAAAAGUGAGCAGCCCAUCGCAUUGACCCAAAGACCUGGUAGUUACCAAUGAGGAAGAGCCAACAAGGAUCUAAAGAUUACAAGAGAAAGAAUUUCAAAUNNNNNNNNNNNNNNNNNNNNNNNNNNNNNNNNNNNNNNNNNNNNNNNNNNNNNNNNNNNNNNNNNNNNNNNNNNNNNNNNNNNNNNNNNNNNNNNNNNNNNNNNNNNNNNNNNNNNNNNNNNNNNNNNNNNNNNNNNNNNNNNNNNNNNNNNNNNNNNNNNNNNNNNNNNNNNNNNNNNNNNNNNNNNNNNNNNNNNNNNNNNNNNNNNNNNNNNNNNNNNNNNNNNNNNNNNNNNNNNNNNNNNNNNNNNNNNNNNNNNNNNNNNNNNNNNNNNNNNNNNNNNNNNNNNNNNNNNNNNNNNNNNNNNNNNNNNNNNNNNNNNNNNNNNNNNNNNNNNNNNNNNNNNNNNNNNNNNNNNNNNNNNNNNNNNNNNNNNNNNNNNNNNNNNNNNNNNNNNNNNNNNNNNNNNNNNNNNNNNNNNNNNNNNNNNNNNNNNNNNNNNNNNNNNNNNNNNNNNNNNNNNNNNNNNNNNNNNNNNNNNNNNNNNNNNNNNNNNNNNNNNNNNNNNNNNNNNNNNNNNNNNNNNNNNNNNNNNNNNNNNNNNNNNNNNNNNNNNNNNNNNNNNNNNNNNNNNNNNNNNNNNNNNNNNNNNNNNNNNNNNNNNNNNNNNNNNNNNNNNNNNNNNNNNNNNNNNNNNNNNNNNNNNNNNNNNNNNNNNNNNNNNNNNNNNNNNNNNNNNNNNNNNNNNNNNNNNNNNNNNNNNNNNNNNNNNNNNNNNNNNNNNNNNNNNNNNNNNNNNNNNNNNNNNNNNNNNNNNNNNNNNNNNNNNNNNNNNNNNNNNNNNNNNNNNNNNNNNNNNNNNNNNNNNNNNNNNNNNNNNNNNNNNNNNNNNNNNNNNNNNNNNNNNNNNNNNNNNNNNNNNNNNNNNNNNNNNNNNNNNNNNNNNNNNNNNNNNNNNNNNNNNNNNNNNNNNNNNNNNNNNNNNNNNNNNNNNNNNNNNNNNNNNNNNNNNNNNNNNNNNNNNNNNNNNNNNNNNNNNNNNNNNNNNNNNNNNNNNNNNNNNNNNNNNNNNNNNNNNNNNNNNNNNNNNNNNNNNNNNNNNNNNNNNNNNNNNNNNNNNNNNNNNNNNNNNNNNNNNNNNNNNNNNNNNNNNNNNNNNNNNNNNNNNNNNNNNNNNNNNNNNNNNNNNNNNNNNNNNNNNNNNNNNNNNNNNNNNNNNNNNNNNNNNNNNNNNNNNNNNNNNNNNNNNNNNNNNNNNNNNNNNNNNNNNNNNNNNNNNNNNNNNNNNNNNNNNNNNNNNNNNNNNNNNNNNNNNNNNNNNNNNNNNNNNNNNNNNNNNNNNNNNNNNNNNNNNNNNNNNNNNNNNNNNNNNNNNNNNNNNNNNNNNNNNNNNNNNNNNNNNNNNNNNNNNNNNNNNNNNNNNNNNNNNNNNNNNNNNNNNNNNNNNNNNNNNNNNNNNNNNNNNNNNNNNNNNNNNNNNNNNNNNNNNNNNNNNNNNNNNNNNNNNNNNNNNNNNNNNNNNNNNNNNNNNNNNNNNNNNNNNNNNNNNNNNNNNNNNNNNNNNNNNNNNNNNNNNNNNNNNNNNNNNNNNNNNNNNNNNNNNNNNNNNNNNNNNNNNNNNNNNNNNNNNNNCAUCUGUAAACAUCAUUAUUUUGUUAAAAAUUUUGACAAUCCUAAACAUUACUACAAAUUAAAUAGUGAAAAACACAUUAUUCUGCAAAACAUGUUAAGUUUGCAGAACAUAUUUACAUAUUACAGAACAUAUGUGUUCUAUUUGUCGAACAUAAAUGAUUUUCAAUAUUUUUCAUGAAAUAGUGAUAUUUAUAGAAUGUAUUUCACAAAAUAACAAGUUUCAUACAGUUUGCAAUGUUUUUAUGUCAUUCUAUAGUUGCAGAACAUACGUGGUCUACGGUACUACAGUAAAUAUGUGGACUACAUGGAACUUAACUCUAUUCUACAAAUAUCAUGUAUCCAUUAAAAUUGUUGAAGAUUAUCUAUGUUUAAUAAAUAGAUAAUGUAUGUUCUACAAGUUGAACAAAUAUUCUGCAAACUAAACAUAUUUCAUAGAACAAAAUUUUUUGUAAUGUUCUACAUGUAAAACUUAUAUGAUAUUCAAGAUUUUAAAUGAAAUAAAUGAUUUCGUAGAAUAUGAUUUGUAAAACUAUAUGCUUUGCGAUGUUUUUAUGAAAUGUUUUACUUGCAGAACAUAUGUAGUCUCCAGAAAAAUUGUGGUCUCCAUUGAAGUUAACUCUUUAGAUAUAUAUCAUUUUUAUUUUAAAUUUUGAUGAUAUAAAAUCUGUUUUUCAAAAUCUAUUAAAUCAGUCGGUAUUCAAAAAUUAAUAAAUUUUAUUCUAUUUGUAUCAAAGAACCAAAAGCUACUUCUGGAUUCUGUUUUUCUUGACCCGUUUGUGUAAAUAAGUAUAAGCACUUUUAGGAAACNGAAAUAGUGANUCAUCGCUGUCUAUGUAGUUACUAACAUACUAGCCAUCAUACACUAGAGUAGAUUAUUCCCCCUUUAUAUUCACAAGCCUUUUGCUACAUCAAAACCAGCAUUGUUUAUUGAAAUCCAUAAUGUAGAGUUGCUGGUUCUGCAAAGAAAAUCAUGUACAAGCUUAAGAUGGCAGUAAUUAUGCAAAUAACUACGACAUAAAUUUCUUGAUAAGGUAUACUAAAAGACUUGAACCAAUCCUUUGUUUACAGCUAGAUAGCCAUAGCUGUGUACUAUAGAAAACAUGUUUGGAUUACACACAAAGCAUAUUAGCAUGAAAGGGUUCGCAUGAUUUAAUAGGUUCUAUAUUCGAGAUAUUUGAAGAAUAACGAAUGAUUAGUGGAAAACUGACACAGAAAAGGUUAAAAAAAAUUAUGGUCACGUACCAGCCUAAGUUCCAAAUUCAACUAUGAGGAGGAGACCCUGGCUCAGAACCACAAACAGAAGAAAAAGAUAUGAUAUCUUCUUUUCCCAUGGCUACAAAAUUCAGUGGUGCAGUAGACAGUCUUCUCAUCUCCUUGAAAUGCCCAUUUUGACGCCCAGAAUAUGAACGUGGUGUCAUGAGCUCUGGAGUCGCACAUCCAACUGAGUUCCUGCGAGGUGUGGGAGUCAUCGAUCCAUUUCCGUUAGCAUGAUAGCCAUUUGUCUUCCUGAAACUGGGGCUUCUUCUCGGACUAGGCUUUGAUCCAUAAAUGGAUUCUUUUUCUGUUAAUAGCAAGUCUUGGAGCUUCUUUUGGUCCUAAUAAUGACAGAUACAACAAGAAACUAUUCAAGAAAAAUGCAAAACUGAUUAUUCAAGGCAGCCAAUUUUAAGCAUUAUACAUCUCCCCGGCUUGGACUUUUGCAAUAUAUUUUCAUAUAUGAUCCCCAAAACAUGAGUAGAAGGCCAUUGUUUUUUGCAAGCCAUUAUCAUACCCCUCUCCUCUUGGCAAUAAGAGGUAAAGGGUUCAAGCCUCAGUGAAGGCAUGCACAUGAAUAUUAAAAAUUUUGUGAUUGCCCAUUACCAUAAAAAAAUUUAAACGUAGGAACAAAUUCACACCCACUUUACAAAAUUAUAGUUAUUCCUUGAUUGAUCAGGCUUUAUUUGCCACAUCUAUACACACCCGAUAAGGGACAGCACACACACACAUGCAUAUAAAGAGAAGUUUACCUUGUAUCGCUUCUUUGCCUCCUCUUUCUGUUGUCUUGUAAGUUUGUAAUCAUCCAGUAUGGAUACCAAACGUGCCUACAGCAAAAUAAGCUGUCAGAAGUUGUGUAUAUAUAUAGCAACAUGGCAACUGUGAGCCGUAAUAUUAAGUUGCAAAACAUACCCCGUCAUAUAGAAAUUGUUUUCUUCUCUCAUUUUCCCAUGCAACAGUUUUCGUUGUUAGACUAUCAACAAUUGCUGAAACUCAAGCUAGUUUGUUAGCUCCAAUCAAUCUUCCAACUAGGGUAAUAUGUGACCUAAUAAAUUGAACAUAAAUAACAUACCUGGAAUCUUAGUAACUGUUAUUCUAGCACGUUCUGCACGCUUUAGAUUUAGAUGCGCACCCCUUCCAGCACUGUAGCGGUUAUGAUCCUGAUAAAAAUAUAUAUUAACAAAAAGAUCAGAAUUCUAAAAUGAACAAUUUAACUGCAGAUGUAUACAUAUUAUGUGCAUAUAAGGUGGAUGAAGACUCUAGUACAUGCACACACACACAAAGAAAAACAUUUAAUGAAAAUAGAUGAAAAAAUCUGAACCUUAUAAGUAACCUAAUACAUAAAAUAAGCUAAAAAGCAACUUUCCAUUUGUGCAAUAGUUACACAGACAUUUAAUGAAAAACAGAUGCACAUUUUGAGUUGGUCUAUCACUAUGUCAUUUCAUAUGCAAGAAGGCUACACAGGAUAGUCAUUCUUGCUUACUAGGUUAUAAUCUUCAAGCCAGUUUUCCUCCUCACAGGCUGAUAGCCAUCGUUCUAUUCUAUCGAUAAUUUCUUUUCGACUUGAAGCUUCAUCUUUAGCUUUGUUAAUUUGUUCUUCAAUAUUUGACAGAAGUUCACAAGGAUCCACGAGACCUGAAAAGCAGGAGUUUUUAACAAAUCACGCAACAAACCGUGUAAAGUGGUAAAAAAGAGAGCAGCUUAUGAGUUAUGACUUCAAUGAUCAAUCUUAUAUUCCAUACCAGAAUCUAUCAUUGCGAUGGAUUUCUCAGCAGCUGUACUGGAAUCAGGUUCAAUAUGCGUCUUCCGACAAAUAUCUUCCAAUUCCGAUCUCUUCUUGAUAACCAGUUCUUUCAUUCUACUUGCUUUUAACUUAGUAAGCCUCUCAACUUCUUCUGAUGCCUGUCAUAAAAUUAUCAAUAUUACAGGAUUUAUUCAGGUAGAAUAAACCAGAAAGCAAAGCUGUUAUCAAACCUGUUGAAUUAUCUCCAUAGAAAGUGAUUCUGGUUCCACAAUUUCAGAUUCCGACGAAAUUGAAAUGAUUCUGGUAAAAUUACGUUUUUCUUCUCUUGUUGAGUCCAUUAAGUUCCAUAGUUCCAAUACUGAGGCAACUAUAUCUUUCAGCUGCAAUUUCAAGACAGAUUGUUGGUUUUCUUGGUAGGCAUGAAGAGGUAUCUAUUUAUAGAUAACAGGAUUCAAGUUGGAUACAAAACUUAAGAGCAUCUAACCUUCUGAAAUCGAACUUUUCUUUCUGUCUUCAACUUGAGGAUUGCUUGCUCAAGCCCCUCCAAAGUACUGUCGCUGAUGUUUAUAGACUGCUCCAAACUUGUAGUAUGUAAGCUAGGAUGCACGUCGCUCACAGUCCUGCUAAACUCUAAUCCAAGAAUGCCACAUAGGAAAUGCACCUCAUUCACAUACCCCAUUAUUUUCUGGUGGCGUUCGGACUGGAAAAGGAAGGUAGUGCAAACACUUGAUUAAUGAGCAAUGUUACAAGUAAGAAAGAAUCAUUUUAGCUAUUAUGACAACUAUCUCAAAAAAAAUAAUAACAAUAAAAGCUUAACCAUUUGGGAUGCCUCAUAUACUGAGCAAUCAUUGGCGUAAAAGUAACAAUGAGAUGCAUGUAAUGGAUAAAGUCAAUAAAAUGACUAAAACGCUCUGAAUUGUGGAUGGAUACCUUUUCCUUUUGAAGGGCUCGGAGAUGAGUUUGGUACUCCGUGAGUUUCCUGAGUGAUAAAUCUUGUUCCUCAGAUUCUAAUGUUGUUGCAGAGCUGGCAAGAUGACUGUAUCCAGAGAUCUCUACACUGAUCUUAUCAAUCUGUGCCUUCAUAUCUGAAAAUUGCUUCAUCCUCUCCUCUCUCUUUACUUUCAAAUCUUCGACUAAUGGUGAAACUAACAUAAGCUGCUCUUUCAAAGUUGUUGCUUUCUUCUUCUACAAAUUUUAUAGUAAGACAAAGAAACAUUAAUGAAAUAUAAUCCUUCAGGAUUUGAUGACAAUAUUAUACAUGUCCAUAUAGAUACUCAAAUAUUGCUCCACAUCCUAUUUAUACAUUAUCUUGUGACAAAUUCAUAACGAAUGAACCAAAAAACUCCAGAGUAUAUACAUCAGCAAUACAUUCGUAAUGUGCUUCAAUUAGAGAAGACUAGUUAGAAAGAUUACACAUUAGUCAUGCACAACAUUAUUCAUAAAGAGUGUAUUUAAUCAAAGAUUCUUAUUUUAUGUAUGAAUUUUGGUUAUAAUGGUAAGGUAAUUAAAUAAAUAGAGUAAAUUCCUUUCACAUAAGCUUUAUGCUGUUGUUUUAAAUAUUUAAGUCUGUAUUCCUUAGAUAUUAUGUCAAGAAGCUGUAAUCUUGAUAAAGAGUCAGUUCCGAAAAGGACAUAAGUUACAAAAUGGAUAAUACUAAUAAAAUUAUACAAUUCAGUUGUAGUUAUUUUCCAUUAAAAGACUGGUUUACUAUUUAUAUCCAAACACGGAUAUAAUCACAAACUGAAAAUAAAAUCUCAGUAAAACAGAAUGAGAACAAGCCUAAAAAUACACCCACAAAAACAGAAACAUUUAUAUUGUAAGGAGAAAGGUUACGUGGACAGGACACACUAAUAGAAUGCAGAUAUUGUCCGAACUCACAUAAAUGAGAUUUUCGCAGGACAUGAAUAAAAAACAAACACGAGGAAAAAACAACAUAAAGGUGAACGUAAAACAUAUACAUAUAACAGAAACUAGUUAUGGGUACCAUUGGUUGAAUGUUAAGUUCACCAAGAGCAGCCAUAAGAGUAGCAAGUUCAGCUUCCUUGGUAGCAACUGACUGAUGAAGACGGGCCUUGGUAUUUGAGGCUUCGUCAACCUUUCUGCGGUAAACUUCGAGGCACUCUCUCUCCAGGUCCAGCAACAUCCGAUCUUUUUCAGCCUCACUUUCGCCAAUUUCAGUCCAUAUUUGCUGCUUACCACAAGAAAAAUUAACAAUGAACACUGGGAAAAACAUAUUACAUAAAAUUAUUAGAAAUACCAUCCUUGUGUUGCAAAGUUAAGACAAGGUAAGCGUUCAAGUUGAAUACCAGAAAUGCUUGUGUUUAAGUGAAUUCACACAAACACUAUAUUGCAGACAAUAAAAUUCACAAAAUCUAUUGUGCAACCCUUGAACAUGAUCAAGUUUCCACCUUCCUCCAAACAUCUUCUUUUCUCAUAGGACUCAAUUUCAGCAAUUAGUUUAAUUUCAAAAAAAGUGGCACCCCAUGCACCCACCCACCGACACACACGCACACCCCGUAUCAUCUUUUUUCUUUGCUAAAUACCAGAUUAUCAUCUUUAAUUAUGAAAGGCACAAUUGAUGACAUUUCUUGAAAACAAUCAAACUACUUUAAAUACAAAGAAAAAAGUGAAAUUUAAACAAUAAAUGAUCAUAACUACUUGAAAUCAACUUGGCAUCCCUGACUUGGGAAGAAAAACAAAGAAACAAGAACAACUUAACUGACUUGCAAAAGAUAAUUACACAAUGAGGAGAGGAGGGGAGGGAGGGGGAGAGAGAGAGAGAGAGAGAGAGAGAUUUUGACCUGAAGUUCCCUCAACAAAGAAUUGCAGCUAGUGCUUGUCCGGACACCACCAGGACUCCCAACCUUCAACAUUUCAACAGAACAAGAACCAAUUUCUCCCAAAACCCACUAUCUAAAAACCCUCCAAAACACACAGAGGGAGAGAGAAAUAGAAAAAAAAGGGCCAACGCAGCUAAAAGAUCAAACGAGAAUGCAAAGAAAAAGACAAGAACAGUCCAUCCAAGAAGAUAAUUGAAGAGAAAGAAAGUUGGGUUUAGUGGGGUUUUUAAACAUCUCAAGUCAAAUAACAAAAAAACACACAAGUCACCAUUUUGAACCCUCCCUUCUCCUCCUUAACCAGAUCUGAAGCUUCCUCGCACACAAAGACUUUAACUUUAGUUCUCAGAAAACAAAUAAACCCAAGAAAACAAAACAACCCAACAAACUAUUUUAGAUAAGAAUGAAAACAAUUAGGUACAUAAAGCCAAAUGCAGCACCAAGGUCCACCAAACAAGAUACAUAUAUAUAAGUAUAUAAAAUGCUAAGAUGCACCAAGAUUUGGAUCUGCUUAUGUUAGCAAAGAUUUAAAGGGCUUUUGAU
rnacentral:lncRNA from 1 species